UUCCAUUUAUGAAUGAGCAUCGACACUAUAAAUACCCCUUCUUAUAUCAAGAGGAUGACUUCCGGCAAAAGAGAACGAAUUACUCCCGAAAGCUCAGAAGUCUCAAAACACUUUGUGAAGAACUACCAAGGUUCCAGAUAGGCUGUUCUUUCACCAAUCCGAAGGCUUAGAAGUUGUCAAACUCCGAAGAGUCACCAAGUUGCCAAAUAGCCGACAUCUUCACCAACUUAAAGACGAAGAACAAAUCACCACGUGAAACCGCUCGUGGAUCAAACCUGAUCAACAUCAAGCCUCCACGGCCCUUGAUCAACCCUUGUCUUCAAGUCUUCAACAAAUCAAAACCUCUACCAAGUUCUUCAACAAACUCGUGGAGAAUCAACAAGCACCGAACACACGUGCUGAUUCAUCCCCCGUCAAAGUUGAAGAACGUUCACCACGUGACACUGCUCGUGGCCUAAGUCCGAUCAAGAACAAGCCUCUAUGGCACUUGGUCAAUCAACUUCUACAAAUUGUCAACACGGCAAGAAGUCUAAACUAAAACCAUUCGAUUCAAGAUCAAAUGCUCGUCACCCUUGGAUCAAAUCGAUGUCGGAAAUCGAAUCAGAGGAAAUUCAUGUAAAAGAAUACCCACAGAGAUUGUAACUCAUAAAUUCAUCAAUACAAAUAUAUUAUUUUGUACAUGUGUCUUAUGUUAUUUGUUAGAGGAUUUUCCAUGUUUACAAAAUUGGAACGUCCAGUGGGAGAUCUCUGCCUCUCAUCUCCGACAAUAUCGUCAUCCUCAUCACAUGGAAUCGAAGAUGAUGCAAAUCAAAUUGAAAAACAAGACCAACAAGGUAGCUUAGAAACCUUAGCGGUCAUGCUGCUCAUAAUGAGUCAUUUCAACUCACAAUAUUCGACCUUCAUUCCUCAAAGCAGUUUCAGCCGAUCAAUGCUUGGAAUGGGGGCGAACCUCAUGAAGCAAAGACAUUCAACAUCGUCAAGCAACUCGAGGAAACAUUAUCCUUCGCCCACAGCCGAAAUUGAUUCGAAGGUAGGUCCACACUUGGAAUUGCCUCUUGACAAUCAAAUUGAAGCGAUUCUAAAAGAUGACUCUUGCGCCAUGCAAGUCAUGGUGAUAGGAGUGACCAACGUGGAAGACAAGCGGCCCAAAUAGCCCAGUUGACUAAAGCGGUGAAGGAGCUCCAAAAGACCAUUGAAGAGAAGGAUGUAUAAAUUGCAUCGCUCAUGGAGAAGCUAGAAGUUCACCAUGACAAUGACUUAUAGAAUAACCUACAUGGCGAUAAGAAAGACACUCCUGGUGGAUCAUCUCCUGAACAAAAAGGAGAAUCAAAUUCCAUUCUAGCUUCAUUGUUAGCUUAACAACUUCAAGACAUGAUUGCUAACACAAUCAAAGCUCAAUAUGGUGGUUCGUCUCGAGAUACACUAACGUAUUCCAAGCCUUACACCAAGCAACUAGACAAUUUGAGGAUGCCAACCGGUUACCAACCUCCCAAAUUUCAACAAUUUGAUGGCAGAGGUAACCCUAAGCAGCACAUCGCGCAUUUUAUCGAAAGAUGCAACUCCACUGGCACCGAUGGUGAUUAUCUUGUAAAACAAUAUGUUCGCUCACUCUGAGGUACAACGUUCGAAUGGUUUACGGACUUGGAGCCUGAAUCCAUCGACAGCUGGGAGCAAAUGGAAAAAGAGUUUUUAAACCGCUUCUUCAGCACACGUCGCAUGGUGAGUAUGUUAGAGCUCACCAACACCAAACAAUGAAAGGGCGAGCCUGCUGUAGAAUUCAUCAAUCGCUGGCGUGCACUAAGUCUCAACUGCAAAUAUCGACUCUCAGAAUUGUCAGCGGUAGAGAUGUGCAUACAAGGCAUGCAUUGGGACUUGUACAUUCUUCAAGGAAUAAAGCCUCGCACCUUCGAAAACUUGCUACUCGAGCUCAUAACAUGGAACUCAGCUUCGCUAGCCGUGGUCGAAGAGAAUGUGACAUCAUUGAACCAGAGAAUCUAGAGUCUUUGGCAAUCAGCAAAACUACUGCAAGAAUCACAAAACGAGCCAAAUCACAUGACUGAAAGAAAUUUUAGUCGACUCAAGAUCAAGCAAGGAGGCAAACUCUAAAAGACAUGGAAGCUAAAAGUUACCCUUUUCCAGAUUCUGAUGUUGCUGAGAUGUUAGAAAACUUGCUUGAAAAAGAAGUAAUCAAAUUGCUAGACUACAAGCGUCCAGAAGAGAUGUAUCGCGUCAAUGAUCCAAAAUACUACAAGUACCACUAUGUCAUCGGUCAUCUGGUGAAGAAGUGCUUCAUCUUGAAAGACCUCAACAUGAAGCUUGCAUAACAAGAAAAGAUAUGUUUAGAUGUUGAAGAUGAUGUGGCUCAGUCAAAUCAUGCUACCUUCAUCUAUGAACAACUUAAAGCAGUGUCAUCGAUGUCUUUGUUGAGGGCAUGCAACCUGCCGAGCCUCAUGUAGACCACUUCACAGUCAUAACGCUCCUUGUCUGCAUGAGCAUAAACUGCGAAUGACCAAAAAAAAAAAGAACUUUGUCUGCACGAGCUUAAACUGCAAAUGACAAAAAAAAAUGCUCCUUGUUUGCACGAACUUAAACUGCAAAUGGCAAAAAAAAAAAAAUGCUCCUUGCCCGUAUGAGCAUAAAUUGCGUAUGACACCAAUAAAAAAAAACCUUGAACUACGUCAUGUCUUGAUCUCUUUCUCAUAAGAGUAUGUAGACAGCUUGGAAGAUGCUUCUGAGUUCAGUCAUAACAAAACAAGAAAAUGGGCUUGCUCAGGAAGUUGUUCUGAGUAUUGUCUUGUCAAAACAAGGUAAUGAGCUUGCUAUCAAAGUUUAUAUCGAAUUCAUUAUGGCUCGAGAAUUUGGAGGUGUCUCCCAAGUCAAAGAAGGGACAUACAAAACUUGAAAGAGGAAGCCUCUGCAUAAUCUUUGGAAUUCUACUCUUCCUUUCGCGGUCAAAAAUACGCAAAGCCUAAGCACUUUGAAUGAUUCCUCCCACUUUCAGAAAGUGGAAGAAAUCAAGCAUUUAGGUUGUCUGCCUUUUUCAUUUUGUCGUCUGUUGUUGUGCACGUAAAGCCUAAACACGUUGAGAUUAAUCCCAUGCCCAAGACGUGGAAGAAAUCAAGUAGUUAGGUGUUCGCGUUCUUCAAUUGCUGCUAAGGUACUCAAAGCCUAAACACUUUGAGUGAUUAAUCCCACACUCGAGAUAUGGAAGAAAUCAAGCGGUUAGGUGUUCGCAUUCUGCAAUUGCCGCCGAGUCACGCAAAACCUAAACACUUUGAGCGAUUCAUCUCACGUCAGAGGUCGAAUUAAUCAAGUGGUUAGGUGUUCACGUUCUUCAAUUGCCGUCGAGUCACCCAAAGCCUAAACACUUUGAGUGAUUUAUCCCACAUUGGAGGUGGAAAAAAUCAAGCGGUUAGGUGUUUGCGUUCUUCAAUUGCCAUCGAGUCACGCAAAACUAAAACACUUUGAGUGAUUCAUCCCGCAUCGGAGGUGUUCACGUUCUUCUAACGUCGUCAAGACCGCAACUCUUUAAUGCCCACACAAUCAACCCAAGAGAGAGGCUUGCACGUUGACCUAAUUCGUUUAUCUCUAGAAACCUGCAACAGAAGCACGCAAAAAAAAAAGGGACGAGAAAGAGUCAUUGAAUAAGUGUGCAAUUAAAUAUGCUGCUGUCAAAAAGAAGAAGAAACCAAAAUAAAAAACAAAAAAAUAAAAAUAAAAACAAAAAAAAAGAGAAAAAGGAAGAAAAGAUUGGCGUCAUGAGAAGAAUCACUAGUUGAUUAAAGGGGACUCGUUCAUCACGGCUCUUGUUUGCAUUGCCCUUGUACUGUACCGAGGUGAGACACAGAUCAAUGUGCACAUACCUUGUGAGCCGAAAAUCCUGAAACAAAAAAAAAAAAAGGAAAAGGGAAGAAAAGAGAGGCUAGGAGUGCUGCGACGUAAUUGCAUGGAGCCAUAUAGCAUACCUUGAUCAAGCUCCACUCAUGGCUCCGACAUGCAUCUUAUAUUCUUAUGUGACCAAAAAAAAAAGUAAAAGAAGAAGUGUGGACGGCUAGCUAAGGAAGAGGACUGGUGAUUAGGGCAAACCCUAUUGUGCCAUUUUAUAAGGUGAUUAUUCAUUCACUUUCCUAUUUGGUCAAGAGAUUGUCAAGCAUUGCAAGAUUUCGUACCUGUAGAAGACCAAAUGAGUUUGGAAGGUGGUAAUCAAUUAUACCAAUUAAGAGAUUAUCAUCCACGCAACAUUGAUAGGAAAACGAAGUCACAUAUGGAAUCUGUUCAAAUGAAGAUCAAAUCCAAUAGGUAUGCAGAUUGCUCAUGAUUCUCAAGCAUUCAAAAUCAAAUUCCAAAGGCGACAAAAAUGUCAUCAUGGUGAGGAAGGAAUGUAUCGAGGGAUCUUUCUAUAUACAUUCAGUGUUUAAAAAUCUUACCAACCUAAAUCAACAUAUUUGAGAAUCCUUACAAAAUUGAGGAAUCUUUACAAAUACGCGGAAAAAUACAAGAAUUCUUACAAAUUCUAAAAUUCCUACAAUCAUUGAGCCCAAGAAGUUGGCCCAGAAUCGUCCAAAUCGAAAACAUGGACUUCAAGCCGCGUCUCUGGCACAUGACGACGACAUGAGUAUGAGACACCUUGAAGUGGGGGCAUUUAUAGACGCAUAAAUUUAACGAGAAUAAUAAUUAUUAAAUUAUUCAGACGACACAUGUGGCUGACAAAUUGCAUAUGUGGCUCGUGAGUUGGCAAAGUUGAAAAGUUGUCAGAAUUGACACAUGGCAACAUGUGAAUGGUCGGUCAACAACAAAACCAUUAAUCCCGAUUAAAAUCAAAUAUUAAAUGUCAAUCGAUAAUUAGAUAUCAAUCAAAUCAAAUUGAUUAUCGAAAAAGAAGUCAGACAUUUAAUCAAAUUGGUGAAAUACCUUAUCAGUCAAAAUAAAUGGAUCAACUAAGAUAAUUAUGGUAAAUUGAAUAAUUGAAUCAAUCAAUCAAAAGUGAUUGAUUUAAUUAUAUCAUUAAGGAAAUACAACUCAAAUGGUGACUUCAAUGCAUUCCAUUUAUGGAGAAGCAUCGACACUAUAAAUACCCCCUCUUAUAUCAAGAGGAUGACUUCCGGCAAGAGAGAACGAAUUACUCUCGAAAGCUCAGAAGUGUCAAAACACUUUGCGAAGAACUACCAAGGUUCCAAAUAGGCUGUUCUUUCACCAAUCCGAAGGCUUAGAAGUUGUCAAACUCCGAAGAGUCACCAAGUUGUCAAAUAGCUGACAUCUUCACCAACUUAAAGACGAAGAACAAAUCACCACAUGAAACCGCUCGUGGAUCAAACCUGAUCAACAUCAAGCCUCCACGGCCCUUGAUCAACCCUCGUCUUCAAGUCUUCAACAAAUCAAAACCUCUACCAAGUUCUUCAACAAACUCGUGGAGAAUCAACAAGCACCGAGCACACUUGCUGAUUCAUCCCCCGUCAAAGUUGAAGAAUGUUCACCACGUGACAUUGCUCGUGGCCUAAGUCCAAUCAAGAACAAGUCUCUACGGCCCUUGGUCAAUCAACUUCUACAAAUCGUCAACACGAUAAGAAGUCCAAACUAAAACUAUUCGAUUCAAGAUCAAAUGCUCGUCACCCUUGGAUCAAAUCGACUCGGAAAUCGAAUAAGAGGAAAUUCUUGUUAAAAAAUACCCACAAAGAUUGUAACUCAUAAAUUCAUCAAUACAAAUAUAUUUUUUUAUAGAGAAAAUUAGAUAAAAACCCAAAAUACUAGACCUCUUUUAAGAUAAACCUAUACAUAUUUUUCUUUUAUUUUACACCCACUCCACAUAAGCAAACAUACCAUAUAAAGCAAAUGUCUAUAAUUAAUAGUUUUCUUUAUUUUUCGGUUUCUCUAAUUUGCCCUUCAGACAGUAGAAAGCUAAAUUUGGUAUAUUUCUCAAUUUUAGCAUCAAUUUGAAACUCAAAUACUAGCUAAAAUUUAGUUGGAUUUAACUUUGUCAUAAUCAAUUACAUUCUUUAAUUUCUUACCUUGUUAUUACUAACUUGAGUUUAUAUAUAUAUAUGUUAUAUACAGAAGUAUGUCAUUUGUAAUAGGAUGAUACUUUUCAUUCCUAAACUCACAUUUGUCUGUCUACAUAGUCGAAAAAUGUCCAAUUGUAGGGUACACGUUCUUGUUCUUUGAUUAAUUUUCUUCUUUUUAGGUAUAUUAUUAUAUCAUUUCUCAUCCUAAUCGAGAGAACAUUUUACUCUCUACUACUUACGUUUCUAAUGUACAUAUUAACUAGGGCAUGAUAUGAUAAUAUACCUAAAAAGAAGAAACCCAAAAUUGGGUUUAGGGUAUAGGGUUAAGGUAUAGGGUUUAGGGUAUAGAGUUAGGGUAUAGGUUCAAGGUAUAGAGUAUAGGGUGUAGGGUUUAGAUCAUAUAUCUUAUUCAUAUUAUAUUUUACUUUAUAUAUAGAUUAAAGAAUGAAUUCUUUUAAUCCAGGUUUUUUCAUAAAAAUAAAGAAAACUACAUGAUUCUUGUAAAUUAAUUGAAAAAUGUUAGUGUUAGAAGAAAAACUCAUAAUCAAGGUAUUUAAGACAACAUCAAUUAAGCUUAUUUAUUAUAUUAAUAUGUUAUAGUUGAAUGGUGACAAUUGUGUAAAAUUUAGAAAAAAUAGGACAUAAUAUUUAUCAUAAUUGAUACAUUUUAGAUGUCUAUCAGAUAAGAAUAUUAUGUGAGUUUUAUUUAAAGCCACUCUUCAAAAUUGAGUGUAUAUGAAAAUUCCCUUAUUUUAUACACGUGUCUUCUGUUAUUUGUUACAUGAAUUUUCGUGUUUACAGUCAUAACUAAAACACCCUUCUAGUGUUUUGAUAGGUUGCCUAAUUGUCACCGUUAAUGAGCCGUGGUCAGUUGGUUAGCUAGCUUAACCGGUGUCCAAGAAGUUAUGAGUACAAAACUCACAUGUAUUAGUGUAUAACUUGUUAUUUGUUGUUCUUCAUUGUUUAUUUUAUUUUAUUUUAUUUUUUCCAAUUAAAAUUUGAAUUUGAUACUGUAAUGUUGCCUUCCCAUUGAAAUUGAUCCCAAGUUUCACAAUGAAGAUGCGAACAACAACUCAACAACUAACAGGUAGCUGAUCCCAAAUGGAAGAAGUGAUGAUGUGAGAAAUGAGAAUUGGGAGAAACUAAAAUUAGUUUAGCCUUGUGUUUCAACUUGCCUAAAACCCCCAGCAAGUGCCCAUUGGAUUUGUUGUUAUAAAAACAGCACCUUGAAAAAUUGGUGAGAGAGCAAAGCAUUUGCAUGACUUCUUCUCUCUCUUCUCUACUUCUCUUCUGGACCUGACUCACUGACCUGUGCUUUGCUUAUAAACAAGGGCAGAGACAGAGAGAGAGAAGCAUUGGAGUUUGCUCAAUUUGGGUUUGACAUAAUCGCCCACAUUCAUUCAAUUUUCUUCUUUCUUUAAAGGCUCGAGCUUUGGAGCCUCCGAAGAGAGAAGGGUCUCUCUCUGUGUCUCCGCCAAUUCAAUUCAUGGGUUUCGUCUACUGCUGUCAUUGCAUGCUUCUCUUUCUCAUUUAUUAGCUCAAAGAUCUCACCUUUCCAAUCUCUCCGCCCUUUCAAUCGUUCUGGGUCUUCUGCGUUUUCAGAGCGUUGUGUAAAUGGCCAAUGCAUCUGGGUUCUUUACUACUCCUUCAGUUCCCAGCCUGAGGAGGAAGGUUCAGCCUUCAUUAGCCAUUUUUGGAUCUGGGUUUCGCUCCCCUGAGGGAUUCUCCAGGAGGGUAGUGUUCUGCUCCAGCGUUGAGAAGCAAGCUGGAGCUUCCUCCUCUACUGAAUCUAGAGCACCCAGGUCGGUUCACUACUUCACUUCCCUAUUUUCCUUAGCCCCUUCUUGCUUAAUGGUUUGGGUUGUAGUUUGUAGUUGUGUUUUACUUUGACUGUUGUAGUGUUGAGCAUUGGUUGGUUUUUGAUUAAUGAUCUUGUUUGAUAUGGAUUGCAUUUGAUGCAAAUGUUGUUUGUUUUGAUCAGUGUGAUUGUUGUAUGGAUAUCAUGCCAAUGAAUAGGCUCUUAGUGUUUGAAAGACGGAGAUUGAAUUGUCAAAUAUGUUCAAACUAUGUAGUUUUCAUGUAAUUGUGCUGUAAGCUUUAUAAUGAGCUUAUGUACUGGAAUUUCUGUGUUACCUGCUUUCCACUACAGAGCUUUGCCAAUAUUGUGGAGUCAGGAUGAACAAGACACUGUUUCUAAACUUUGAGUUGUCAAGGUAGUGUCAUCGAGGCUCUGAUUCAUUACCGAUCACAGGUUGUACUGGUUGGACCUUAAUUGAAAGAACGAUGUAUUUGAUGCAAAUAUAAUUUGAUGGUAUUUUAGUUGGAAUGCAUUUUGGAGUAAGGAAGUACUGAGAUCAUUGCAAUAUUUAGUCUACUUCAUUUGCCAGUUUGCUGGCCAAAUUUAGUAGUGACGUCUGUUCACAUGUACAAACGAUUUUGCCACAACAAAGAAGUAGGGCGUCUGGUUCUACCGAAGUUAUUGUAAACUUACGUUUGAAGGUUAAUCACAAGGUGUAUCACUUCCUUGGUACCAAAUGAGGUGUUUUUUUUUUUUUUUUUUUUUGGACAACUUAAUGAUAUGGAGGACUAAUGUCAGGGUAGAUUGAAGUUCAAGAGUCCCUCUGAUGUAUGUCAGUUAAUAGAUGAGGAUCCUAGCUUAUCCGGCAUCUGUACUGCUUUCUGCUAGAAGUGCUGACAGCAAGAAGAGGGAAAAAAAAGUCUCUGUGGGCAUGAGCUUCUAGCUUAUCCAGCAUCUCGAAUGAUCUCUUUUAGAAGUGCUCAGAGUUAAUUAGACUAAGCUCUGUGGAGGAGACGGACAGGCCUGAGUCGAGUCCAUAUUAGCAGAAUAUAACUACAACCUUUUUCUUUAUACCAGAAGGUAGAAAUCAUAAUUAUGCCGUGCCUCUUCUCUUUCCUGUUUACAGAGUGAAUUGGUAUCCCGAAAGAGUGGUAAAGUGUAAUAUUUUCCAUUUAAUGGUUCUUCGAUGCAGGACGUUACAGUAUCAUAAUAAAACUUUGGGGUUGCUUAUAUCACUGUUUUCACAUUGUAUGAUAGAGUUGAUGGUGGAUAAUGGAGGAAAAUUCUUCAAACUCUACCAGAUCAGUUUAUUCUCUUUUUUAUGCUAUGUGGUGUUGAAAGAGAUUUUUAUAUUGCAUGUUAUGAUCUGGUUAUCUUAUGAUAUGCAUUUUGUUGUCUUCCCCUUGCAUUUCUGUGCCUUCCCUGUAUCUAUGUGCUCUGUGUGAUAAACAAAGCGGCCUGGAACUUUAGUCAUGUUGGUAUUGAUAUUGUAUAUUGGUUAGAUGAAUGUCAGUUCAAGCUAGUAAAUGAUAAUCAGACUGAUUGUGCAUGUUCCCAAUGCUUGAAAAAUGUACUUUACAGGCUUGUCAGUAAAGGCUGCAAAUUAGUUGGGUGUGGCUCGGCAGUACCCAGUCUUAAUAUUUCAAAUGACGAGCUUUCAAAAAUAGUAGACACUAACGAUGAAUGGAUAUCUGUUCGUACUGGGAUUCGUAAUCGACGAGUUAUUUCAGGUCAGUUCAUACACUCUGUGCAUGAUAAUGUCAUAAAUUUAGUUAACUGUGAGCAGUUUGGGUUGUUUAGUUAGUUACCAUGCACUGAGCCUCUUGAUCCAGUGCCCAAGUUACUAUCUUAGACAUUGGAUAUGCAGUGCAUGACUGUUGAUAUGUAUUGACAUCUUUAAACUAUCUGAGGUGGCAUACUUAAUUAAGCUGAGUCUUGAUUACAGUGUGCAUGCUCAAUAUAGGAAAAGCCACUGAGCUUGAUCAGUCUGUGCUUGCUCAGGGUCAACUAGGUUAGCUAGCUGCAUGCAUGAUCCCUUUUAAAGAAAAUCUGUUUAGUUAUUGGCUUCGCCAAUGCUAUUUGGAAUGCUAAAGUGAUGAAGAAUACGAUGGGGUUUUAGCUGGUAUAUAAUGGAGCGAGGGCUUUCUCAUGGUUGCGGUUGAUAUUUUAACUGUUAUAUAUUGUAUCUCAAUAUAACCCGUACACAACAGUGCAUGUGUUGUCUCUGUUAGUCAUUGAGUUUAUGGUGUGCUGGAUAUCUUAAGGUUACCUUCUCUAGACAAUGACAUCGUUCUAAUGUGCAAUUUUUACAGGCAAAGAAAGCCUAACCUUAUUAGCAGCGGAGGCAGCAAAGAAAGCUCUUGAGAUGGCACAGGUUGAUGCUGAUGAUGUAGACCUAAUCUUGAUGUGCACCUCUACACCUGAUGAUCUUUUUGGCGGUGCUCCUCAGGUGUAUAUAAUAUAUAUAUCCUUUUGUCGGUAUAUCAUAUAUCUGGACUAAGUGGUCAGAUCAUACAUAUUAAUGAUUGAGCGUCUUAUGUUAUUUAAAAGAUACUUCUUUUUUUCAGUUCUUAUUACUUCCAUUCUCUACUGGCGAGUGAGACUUUUGAGUUCGAGUUGUGAAUGCAUUGUUCCGAACCUUUUUUUCUUCUUCUUGGUGGGUGGUUGGGUGGGGGGAGGGUUGGGGUACAUAAAACCUGACCUAUGGAUUUGUGGCUGCUUUUAAAGAAUUGUAUCUAUAAAGUUAUUUGCAUCAUAUAUAUCUGAUUAUAUGGAUUUGAUCUUUACUGGGUUUUAGUUGUCAUAGUCAGGACCUGGAAACUCCAAUUGAUUGUUUUGUUUGACCGUUUCAGGUUUGAGCAAUGUCAGUUAGGUUAAUUUGUUUCUUAAUAUCACAGUCUCUUUUUGCAUAUAAAGCUACUUAGUGCCGUCUCUAGAUUUGAUUGUCUCUUUCCAGCAUCAGGUUCUGGAGUAUGAACUUGAAUAAAUCUUCUGGCCUGAGCUGGAGAUGACUACUCUCAGUAUAGUCAGUUUGUGUAGGUCCAGAACCUAGUCAUGGCACAACUUAAAACUGGCAACUUGAUUCUUGAUGAACUUUCAUCGCCUGUUUACAAUAUAUCCUGAAAACCUCCCUAUGUUCUCUCCUUUAACUAAGCUAACUUGAUAAUUUUUCAAGAAAUCAGCUUGUAUUGGCCAAGUAAUCUGGUUAUUGUGUGUGUUUCUUGACCUUAGCAUUGCUUUUGGUGCGCUUGGCUCAAACAUUUUCCAAAGCUGGGAUGUCUUGUAGCAACUUUUUAGUUCUUUCCUUCGGUUUUCCCAUAAAAUUUUGUGCCAGUUGAGCUAUUUUAUUAAGAUCAACUAGAUAAUAAUUUUGUGUAACAAGAUUCCACUGCCCCAGUGCUUAAGUUGAUCUAUUCAGUAUGGUAACUGCUAGAGUUUGUAAUCUCAUAUUAUGUUGCAAUUUUAGGUUCAAAAAGCACUUGGCUGCAAAAAGAACCCCUUGUCCUAUGAUAUAACAGCUGCCUGUAGUGGAUUCGUAUUGGGUUUAGUAUCAGCUGCUUGUCACAUUAGGGGUAAGGAAUUUGUUUACUUUGAUGUGAGGCAACUGUUACUUCCAUGUUUGAUUGAUUAAACUGGUUUUGCACAAACUACAGGAGGCGGAUUCAAAAAUGUUCUAGUUAUCGGGGCUGAUGCUCUUUCUCGGUUUGUUGACUGGUCUGACAGAGGAACCUGUAUUCUCUUUGGGGAUGCUGCCGGGGCUGUUUUAGUACAGGUGACUUUAUGGCAUUACCUUACAAGUAGUUGCUUGAAUAUUCGUGAAAUCUUAUUAUAAACAAACUAACGGACAUUCCAUUGUCAAUCAUGCUUGUCAACAAAAGUACAGGUGACAAUAUAUUUCAUCCCACUUGUUUAACAUUGCAUUAUUUGUAGGCCUCUGACAUUGAGGAGGAUUUCUUACUUGGUUUUGAUGUUCAUAGUGAUGGUGACGGAAGCAGGCACGUGUUUUCUCCAUUAUUCUUUUAGUUUUCUCACCUUUUUAUCAAAUUGCCAUAUUUCAAGGUUAUCCUGCUGUUUAUAAAUGCCGUAUUUCUCAAUUUUCUUCACGUACAUGUGACUAAUGACUGUCUCUAAUUGCAGACAUCUAAAUGCUACAUUCAAAGGAAAUGAAACAGAUAGUGAAUUGGGUUCUAAUGGUUCAGUCUUAGACUUCCCUCCAAGACGAUCUUCAUAUUCUUGUGUUCAAAUGAAUGGAAAAGAAGUCUUUCGGUUUGCAUGUCGAAGUGUGCCACAAUCGAUUGAGAAUUCGCUUGCAAAUGCUGGUAUCCCUGCAUCUAGCAUUGAUUGGUUACUGCUCCAUCAGGUAUGACAAAUGAUUUUUUUCACAUUCCGCCAGGGACCUAGGUUUAGGUGGUUGAACGAGUUCUCUGCUCUACCUGUCAAGUAAAACUCCUGAUUAAUAAAAGGGGAGCGUAUAUAUAUCAAAAGGCAAAGAACUUCUACCUUAUAAUUUUACUGAUAGAAGAUGUGAGAAAUCUCUCCCAAUAUUCAUUGUAGCGAGCUUGUUGUUGUACCUUUUGUUCUGAUAAUGGCUAUAGGAUAUAACAGAUAAUGACAGAGUUAAAUGAAUGCAGGCAAACCAGAGGAUUCUUGAUGCAGUUUCUAGUCGCUUGGAUAUCCCAUCAGAACAGGUUAUAUCAAAUUUGGCGAACUAUGGUAACACAAGUGCCGCUUCGAUUCCUUUGGCCUUAGAUGAAUCUGUAAGAAGUGGCAAGGUGAAACCAGGCCAUACAAUAGCAGCUGCAGGCUUCGGAGCAGGUCUCACGUGGGGUUCGGCUAUUCUAAGAUGGGGCUGAAAACCUCAUCCUAGUGCCAAGAUAGAAGAGUAUAUGCUAUGAAGCGCAGUUUUGAAAUUCUUGCUUCACAUUUCUCGUGUAUCAUCAUCAUCAUCAAAUGAACAAACCUCAGCCCCCUUUUGUUUGUUUGCCUUUUUCUUACUUGGUAGCUUUGACACCUUCAAUAAGAUUUGUAUUCUUUUCCUCCGGUCCAAUAAUGUAUUUGUUUCUUGAGUCACAAGCCAUAUGUAGAAUAACAAUUCUGGUACCAAAACUAAGACAGUUAUAUGUAUAUCUCAUUGUCUCUAUUGGACAUUUCCUUACAGAAGAGGAUCUUGAAACUGAAUCAAGUGGGAUACAUAAAUAUCUUAAUACAAAGACUAAUCAAGUUAAUAAUUUACACUUGCUGAUAACAAGAAAGAGCAAGAAAACCUCAACUAUGUCACAGAACAAAAACUUGACCUCUAUGAACCCUAGACCUAACCCUCUGCAACACACCCUCAAUUGCAAUGUCGAAAGCAUCUUUCUUGGUUCUUAAUCCCAUUGAACUUCCAUGCUUCCUGUACAUGAUUCUUGGUAUCAAACCCAACACCUUCUCCCUCAUUCUCCUAACCUUAGCUCUUGGUAUAUUCCUAAGCACAUCCAGAAUCCUUGUGUCUUUGAACACCACGUCCUCCUUCGGUAUAUACACCGAAAACUCGGGGUACUGAUCCUCCGGCAAGUGCCACCCGUACUGCGUUCUGGCUGACAUUUCCUCAAAGAACACGGGGAUGCAGCCGGCGAGAAUGCUGUCGAAUAUGGACCGUCUUGUCGGGGUGUCUCCCGGGGGCUGCAAGCAAAAGCUAGCCUGCAGCAUUGGCUUCAUGAACCUAAUAGGGUCAUGCUCACAAAUCCCAUUAGAGCAAUCCACAAUGUCACACAGCUUCAAAUACCCGUGGACAUUGUGGGUCACAUUUCUGGUGCUAUUCACACACUCAUUCCGAAUGCUCCGCCGAAUGUUGGGGUUGCCCGUGGCGACGCCUCCGCCGCCGGCAAAGAGCAUCAAGCAAGUGCGCUUUGACCUUCUUGCCCUCUGUAUCCAGCUCUGGAGUAACGACAGAUUGGGCGGGUGAAACGACGUGGGAUAAGGAACGGCCUGCUCCUGCCAAGGCCAGGCGCGUGACUCAACCGUCAAAGCCGUGACGUUGAAGAAGUGGGGGAGUUCCAGAAGCGACGUGCCCCACGUGGGCGGGUCAGAAUCCAACGGCUGAGAGAAGUCCCAGGCGGGUCGGGCCAGGACCAUGAAAUGGUCGUGCCCCGAGUUCCGAUCCCACACCUCCGGCAUGUCGUCCUGCAGAAACCGGAAAAGCUCAAGACCCUGAUCGGCGCUGGAGUUGACUUCGGGGCCGUAGAGGUACUUCAUGGCGUCGAGCCCCGUGUAGUAAGGAAGAUAAACGGCGUCAGCCUGGACGGGAUCUGACGUCAGACAGGGAUAUUCGAGCAUGCGGCGGUGGAAGAUGAGCUCCAUGAUUAAGGAGUCGGUGCGGUACCAGCUCUGGGAGAGGUUGUGGGUCUUGUGGCCGAGGCCAUGGUUGGGCAGGAAGGGGCACAGGUCGCCGAACAAAGGGUAGCCGGAGCAGGUGGAGAGGAGAUCCAGGUUGAAAAUGGACGGGAGCCGCCGGAUGUGGAUCCAGCGGUCGUCGCAUUCCGUUGGAUUUGUAUCGGCUUGAUCGAUUACAGGAUCGGAAGUGACCAACGCCAAGAAGAAGAAGAAGAAGGGGAUUAGCAAAGCGGAUGCCAUAAUUGAAAGCGAGAGAAUUGGGGGGGGUUUUGAAUUCACUCCUCCAUGACGGUGAGAGUGAAUUGUGAAAGUUCAACGUCCUCUCACUUCCACCAUUAACGAAACGGAGGAGUUGAUUUAAAGGUUUUCCUCUCUCUUUUUUUAACUGCGUGGUGUUGUUGGGCGGUUUGACCCGUCAAUGUCGGUGGUUUUUUACCCUUUUUUGGCGCCUUUUCUUUUCUCUUUUUUUACUGAUGAGGUUGGUUUGAUUAGCAAGAAUGGGAGAAAUCCCUCUAGGUGGAUCCUAAAUAAGGGCUUUCCUUCAUUACUUGGGCCUGCCUAUGUACCCAAAGACAAAAUGGUCUAAAAACCCAAUCUUCCCAUUGUAUAUAAACCGCAGGAAUGGCCCUUUAAAUCCUUUCAUUUCCCUCCAGCUCGAUCUCUCCCAAAAACACCAAGAAGAAGAUAGAAGAAAGGAGCAAGAAUCGUCCAAGAUCGAUCGAUGCUGAAAGCCGUAGGAUUGUUCGGCGGCCGGAACAAGAAGAGCCCGCCGCUCUUCAAGGACUACUACGCCGAGUGGAUCACGACCCUGAAGAGCACCCUCCUCCCCUCCCUCCACCAAUCCCUCUCCGACACGUCACCCUCCUCCCUCCCCCGCCUCUCCCUCCACGUCGACGCCCUCCACCGCCACUUCCAGUCCUACUACGACUCCCUCGACGCCGCCGCCCAAAACGACGUCGCUCAGAUCCUCUUCCCCGACUGGCGCAACCCUCUCGAGAAGCCCUUCCUCUGGCUCGCCGACCUCCACCCCUACCUCUUCACCAACCUCCUCCGCUCCUUCCUCGACCAAGACUCCGACGACGACGACGACGACAGCCUCGUCGUCCAAUUCGGCGACCGCCCCUGGCACGUCGCCACCGCCUGGCGCAGCCCUUCCAAUUCUCUCGCGCAGAAGGUCGAACAGGUGGAGUGCGGCCUCAGGCUCAUGGUGCCAGCGCUGGCGGCGCGUGCCAGGGACGCGCAGGCCGCCUUCGUGGAGCGCGUGGCCAAGAAUUGGGGGCCCUUCGACGGCGGGAAGAAGGAGACGGCGAAGGCGGUGAUGGCGGAGGCGAUGGAGGCGGAGAUGGAGGAGAUGGUGAGCGUUGUGCUGGAUGCGAAUAGGCUGAGGAGGAGUGUUCUUGCCGAGAUCAUCGGGGCCACCAGUGUUUACCAGGCCGCUCUGUUUCUUGAAGGCCUGGCCCAGUUUCUUGUUGGGUUCAGAAACCCGGAGUUGCUGGCCCAGUUUGAUCAGUGCAAGACUCCUCUCACUAAGCAAUGCCGCUUGGCAGUUUGAUUCAGAAGGGUUGCUCUCUUUUCCACUCUUUCAAAUUCCUCUGCUUUUUUCUUUCUUUUUUUGGAUGAACACAUUUGGGUUGAUGCAGUUUUGUACUGAUUGUUUCUGUGCUGGUGUGGACUUGGUGCAGGGAAUUGAUGAGCUUGUUCAUUCAUAAUCUGGUAGCUAGAGAAGGCUUCAGGUUGCAGUUUCUUUGAGGGCGUGGACACAUUCUCUGUCAGUUGUGAGUGAAUGAAGUUUCCUUUUUCGAUUUGGUAUUCGCUGUUGUGUAUGAACUGAUAUGACCAAGAUUGAAUCUUUUUGAAUGUGAAUGAUUUAGUGCUUCAAUGAGUGGUCUUUGUAAUCAAGUAGUUUUGAUCAUUGUUCUUGAGAUAGAGGCAAACAGCAAGUAGUGUACUGUGGAAGCCAUGCCGAAUUUUUCAAUUCACUAAUAAAGUUGUCUAUGUUUUCUAUGUGCUGUAUGGAUGGAUUAUUUGAUGCCAGAAAUGAUUUUGAUAGUAGCUCUAGUCGGAUUAUGGGAUUAGUAGACAUUGUGAUAAAGCAUGGACUGUGGUUUAGGUGUGCCAUAAAAAUCAUCAUAAACUUUUAUCUCAAGUGACAGAGGAAAGGAACAACAUUAUUUGAGUGGCUAGAUCCUAUCAUGAGGAUGGGGAUGCAGAAAAGUAUGACCACAGGAAAUGGCACAGUAACAAGCAGAGAUGUAGCAGCAGUACCAUGUUAGAUUGCUAGGAAAUAAGUCCCUCAAUACCUAAACUGGAAGUAAAACCUUACCUCUUUAUCUAGUAUUAUCUGCUAGUGGAUGUUUUCUGGAGAAUUAGUUGGGGUUUACAUCAUUGUGUCUCUUGGAUAAGUAAAUGGAUUGUGACUAACUGACUGGAUACCAGUCAUUUCCUGCAUUCUGGUAGAGAGAAACUGCAUUGAACGGUGAUAUGCUUUUGUAUGUUACUCGAUCAAAGUACUCGUUUUCUCACUAAGUAGUGUGGUUAGCUAUCAUUGUUAGGGCCUUAUGGAUGCCCUUCCUAGCGUCCGGGCUUACUGGUUAAGGCUUCUGCUUAUCAGUCGAUCACAGUAUUCGUUUGUUCAUCAUUGUGGCUUGGAAUUUCUUACAGCUUGUUUGUAAAUGUAUAACAUUUGGCCCAAGAAGAUGAAGAAACUAUUAAAAGCUUCAUCAUGGGCUAUCUCAAAGCUUUCAGAUCAUAUUGAGGGAGAUGUGAAUCUGUGGCUUUCAAAAUGAAAACCCAAAUUAGCGCUCAUAACUAAUUGCAAAUGUAACAUAAUCAUGUGAAAACUAGUCAGUUUACUUAGGCUGCUUCCCAAGCCCAUAUCAAGGAUGCCUUUGGGCAAAACAUAUUACUCCCACAUAAUUUCAUCUAGUUCAUCAUCACUCUAUGGUCUAUUUAUAUAUUUAACUGCAGUUUAACCUUAUCUAAAUCCUAUGUGGGAGAUGCUAGCUGUUGAUAUUUGACCUGGAUGAAAACUACAGCACAUAUGUUCAUGCAUUCUACAGAAGUAAAAUCUCUGUCCUCCAAUCUUAGCUCCCCACUAAAACAAGUUUGUAAAUGAUAAAAUCCAUCAGGUUUCAUUUAAUUUGAUUUCCAUUUAGACAUCUGCAGAUCUGAGCUCCUUUCUUGGCUAUGAAGAAUGACUCAUUUGUGAGGAUCGGAUGCCAAUAAGGACUAAUUAAUGAAAAACAACUGAUCAAUAUAUAGAGUCAUAGACCAUAUAAGGAAGGUUUAAGGUUUACCUAUCUGCAAGUUGUUGCUGCAACCCAGAUGGCAUAAUCACUAACCUAUUAAUUAGUUUACUCGAAAAUUUGGAAGAUGAUUGACUAAUGUUGAUCUCGAUCAACUUCCUUGUCCAUGUGGUCCUCUUGAAAUUAAACAAGAAUACAACUAAUACCCUGAAUUAUAUUUAGUCUGCAACUCUGCAUAUCUUGUGACUCGUUUGCAGAUAUGUCACCUGAACUGCGCUAGGGGAUCGAGCUCGAGGUACUAAAUUUUUCGUCGUGUCAUACUCGAUCAGGGCAUUAGAACAAUUGUAUCGAAAAGUACGCAUCUGAUCAGAGUAACUAUGAUUAUUUCUUGUACGUUUAGAGAUAUAUUAUUAAGUUUACUAACUGGAAAAAGUACGCAUCUGGUUUCGCCUUAUCUGAUCCAAUGUUGUCAGCAUGAAGUUCUGAACUGCAAUUCUGUGUAAGAAUUGAAGAACUAACGUGUGCAGCUCGCCAUAGCUAGCUAGUUGUCCAAAAGAAAAGGAAGCAAAACCAGAUAUAAAAUUGAAAACUCGAUUGCACGUUGUAAUUCCAUUAGGAAAUGCUAACGAACGUGACUUCCAACUCAUUUUAUGAUAUAUAGAAUUGAUUCAGACUUGCAUACUUAUGUUUGUUUCAAUGUUAUAUUGAAACUUGAUCUGCUGCAGAAUCGAUCAGCAGGUCAACCUGGCUUUAAUUUUUUCGAAGUCUUUUAAUUUUUUCGAAGACGCAGCCCAUGUGUCUUGCUUAAUUUUAACUGUUUGUUCUGCUCUCUAAAUUGAGAAAAUUAUAAUCUUUUACUCAGAAGUUUUGUCUUCAUAAUAUACUUGUUUAAUUGUCAAAUUGCUCAUUAUGAAACAGUUACUAUUGCAAUGAUCAAAUUGUGUUGAAGGAAGCAUUUGUCUUGUUUAGUUUUAAAAUGUUAUCCUUCAGCCAGAUUGAUCUCUUCAUCUAUCUUAUCUAGAUCUAGCUAGCUAGCUACUUGCCAUUUGUAGUUUUAUCCAUCUCUAGCUUAUCUCUCAGCUCUCUCGCUCUUCUAUGAUCUGUUUCUGCUCUGCAUUAGUCAUAAUAAAAAUCUUCAUCUAGCUAGCUAGAAGUGGCACUUGUUAAUUCUUGUAGGUAGGCAAUUACUGUAUAAACUAAUUAUUAUUGCUAAACAUACACAGUGAUAUAUAGUGUUAGGAAUGCAUCGAUCAGACUGAAACCUCUACUGCGCGCAGUAGUGGCUUUAGCUCGCAGAUUACUGUUAAAUCUAUACAAGUUGGAAGCUAGGUCAAUAUGAAGUUUAAUAUGGAUACAGGAUACUCACUCAUUAAGUGAAGCACAUGAAAUAUGAUUCAGCUAGCUAGCGUCUGGUGGCCGACACCACAGACAGUGCUCAAAUAAUUCAAGUUGCUAGCUAGCUAGCUAGAAACAAAUCGAUUCCCAGUACUAUCAUCUUUCUACUAGCUAGUCUCACUAUGUAUAAGUCAUCGCAUUGCAUGAGUAAGUUGGUACAUGUUGUAAGGUAGGUUUGUGGCCAGGAAAUUGAGAUACAAUAAUCAAGAGCUUGUUCGAUCGAUCAGAUGAAUAUGCAUCAAGCAUCAAGCAUAUGUUCUUGCUAUGUGGUUAUCGAUCGCGCGCACUGAAGUCGAUUUAUAUUAUAACAUGCAUGCAGCUUAACAGAUCAAGCAAUGGUUUGUGGUUGAGAAUUUGAUGAUUCUACAAUAGUGCGCGCUAGCUAGCUCUUGCAUAAUCUGCUUGUCUCUCUAUUUACAUAUUGAAAGCGUUUGCCUUACUGAUGCUUAAUUAAACAUGCUGAUUUGUGGCUAGGUAUAUGAGCCAAGACGAUCGAGACCAAUGUAGCUAAGGGAUUCAUCAGCUGCAUGCUACGGUGUAAACUAACCUUGAUUGGUUUGACUUGACAUUAACAAUGAGCCAAACCAAACUGAUUUUGAAAGCAACUGUGAAGAUGGACUGGUUCACUGAAAGUAAUUUAAGUCUGCAUGCCCUGAUAUUAAAAGUUAAUCAAACUGAUUCCAGUCAAUAAUUGUGGGAAAUAAAUUACUUACUUUCACUACCAAUGAACUGAUUUUGCAUGGGGUAGAUUGUUGAAUUUUGCAUAGUAUCAGACAAAUAUUACUUCCUUAAUUAUAUGAAUGAAGUAGCAAUCGAUCAUAUUUUGAUAAUGUUACGUGGUAAAAGUGUAUAUAUAUAUAUAUAUAACUUAGAGUGCAAGACUGACCUUAUGAGAUCAUUGAUGAUCUAAAUCGGGAACUAUAUAUCCAAAACUAAAAGUAACCCACCCUGGUUAACUACUGUCGUAAAGUUACAUGCAUGUCUUGCAUAUGUACGUAUUCUAUAUUAUAUAUGAUGCAGUCAAUUUAUGAAAUUUUGGACACGACUUGACUUGUUGAAUUGGCAUUAGAUCGACGACCAAAGUUGUCUUACGCAGUUGUUAAUAAUUACUUUGGCUUACAAAACAAGCUCUGUUAAUUAUACAUGCAUAUAUUUCCUACCAUCAAAAAUGGUUUUGCUGACUUUCGAUUCAUUUGCAAGACGUGACAUUGUGGAAUGGGGCAAUGUGGUAGCUAGCUAGAGUACGUGACAUUGAUAUCUAUGUAAUUAAAGAAUAAUUGAAAGAACAUAUAUAUGACAACAACAUAUAGAGCCUCCUAGCUUUACAAGGAACUGACUCGAUCACCGGUCACCACCACCUUGGAGAUCCAUUCUUCCAAUUAAAUGGGAUUUUGACCUCUUCCACUUAAUUGAAGACCAUAUAUUAUAUCUAAUUAUAUGAUCCGGUCAAUCUUAACUAGCUAGCUAGCUACCCACUUAUUUUUAAUUGCUAGCUUAUUAUACGUGGUUAUUUUCUUCGAUCGCGAUCGGGCGUUCUCUUUGCGUAUUAGCUUUGCGCAUUACAAAAUGCUAGAAAGAGUACACACUUUUAGACCACUGGUAAUAGUCAACAAUAAUUUACGUACGUAGUUCAAAGAUACUAGUAUAAACUGAUAUAUAUACGGGGUUUGUCACUAUAACCUACCUAACAAAGAUGACAAUACGUUCACCGAUGAUUGGAUAUCUAUCACGUACGUACAUGCACGCACGCUACAACAUAUAUAUGCGAUGAAUCAGUAGUACUUGUUGGUUCAUUUGCGAUCGUAUAAAAAGUUUCUCUAUAUCGAUCGGCCAGACUCGUGAGAUCGAGGAAUUCAUAUUCCAUUUAGUCCCGCGCGCAAUCAUUCAUUCAUGACACCUCUACGCCGGCCUCUCAUAUAUGCCUCUUAAUUUGUCGAUGGAAUCGAAUACCAUUGUCGACUCCCUAGCUAGAUCCACCACCCAUGCACGCACUCGAUUAACUAAUUACUUGGGCAUUGGGGGUAGGCUAGGGAUGACAAAAACGAAAUCAAAGUGAGAAUUGAAAUCCGACUCUAUAAUGCUUUCUUUGCUUAAAAGUCCAUGCAUGGGCGUCCACCGAAUAUAAAAAACCCAGCACGUACGUGAUAAAGCAGCACCUUCGAUUCGAUCAUGAAAGCAGCCCAGCUAGCUCUGUUAAAAGAACAGCUAGCUAGCUUUCCUUCCACGUCCCAACUCGCUGGAAGUUGCAGCUGCAGGUUCAUUGCUAGCUCUUUCAACACGUACAUGCAGUAGCACGUCGUGGUCGGGUCGCCGACUCAGGCACUCAUCAGCUCCAACUCAGCUCCCGGCCUACCACCUCAGACCUCGAUCACUCACACCCGGCCGCGCGGGGCCCACAGAAUAUACUACGGAUUGGUACAGUUGCCCUAAUAUUUGGACGGCCGGGAAGGCUUCCGGCCACGUCAUCGUGCAGCGACUGUGACAUCAAUGAUUGGAAAAUGGGGAGCAAAGGGGAUGGCGAGGGAGAUGUUUUUGUCAUCGACAAAGAGGACGAGGUUUUGCCUCGUGUAUCCGAGGUGCCCAGUUGACUCUCAAGUCCCUACGUACCUUUACUGGUUCUGUUUUAACUUUGCUUUCAUAUAUUGGAAUCUUUCUCCAUUCUUUCCUACAACCUUCCUUCCUUCCUCUCUUUGUGUUUCCCUUUUCGAUUAAUUGUUAGCCUAACAAUGGUGGAGGAUUGAAAGACGGAUAUCCAACCAAGUCUAGCUGAAACGAAUUGCCAUAAAACGGCAAAUUUUAUGCGACAAUUUUGUACGUUGUUAAUAGCUAAUGAAUCGAAUAACAAUAAACAAACAAAAAUAUCAUAGUAAGUACAAUUAUAAAUACAAAUGAGAAUGCUCAAUUCUUGCAUCGAUUGCUAGAAAGAUGGGCAAUUCCUAACUGGUCGGGUUUGAUUUUAAACAUCCAACUUAUUGAUGAAUCGUUAGAUUUCAAAUUAAACCUAAUAAGUCUUGAAUUGGAAUCGUAAUUAGUAAUUUCUGAGAGAAGGGUUAAUAGCUAGUUUUGGGAUUUACGAUUGUUAAUUAGUAGGUUAAGUGAGAUCACUAGUUUUUGUAUUUGGUCAGUACGUAACUACAUAAUUAUUUUUCUACAAUAACUAUAGACAUUUGUUUCAGUACUUAUGGCAAUGCACUAUAUGUAUGAGAUAGAUAAUUCCAUUUAUAAUUUACUAUUUUGUUUCUUCAUGUUGGCUCCAUGCACUGGAUUUAUGUAGCCAUGUAGGGGUCGGAAAAUAGUAGUUAGGAUUGUUUCCAUUGGAGAUGUUCAAAUUUUAUGUGAAAUCCCGAAUUUUAUGUAAAUAAUUAAUCUAGACUAUAUAUAAUUUAUUUAUUUAUAUAUAGAUAUAUAUAUAUGUGAGUACAUGUUCGUUUUAGCAACGAAAAUAAAAGUUCUCUUAGAACUAAACAAAAGAAUUUUCAACUAAAAAAUAAUUAGAAGAAGAAUAUAAGACUUCAAAUAAACUGAAUGUUCCAAAAGUUUUUGUUAAUUUGUGUUACAAAGAAUCAAAUAGAGACCUAGUUAACAUCAUCUGUGCUAAAAAGAGAAAAAGAAAAGAAGCAGUGUUUAUUUGUGAUCAUCUUUGGUACAGAAAUUACAUAUAGCUGCAAAUUAUUGGACACUUGAUAUUAGUACAUGUUUUCUCAAGCUACAUUAGAUCAUUUUCUUUAUUUGUAAACUUGUGCUUCAUGAUUUCCUUGAGAAUUGCUGAUUUCAAAAAGCUUCCAACAAAGUUUUGCCCUAUUUCAUGUGUUGUUUUUGGAUAAAACCAUUGGAUUUAACCUACAACAUUUACACAUCAACAAAUCAGAAAAAAAUUAUAAUUACAUAUUGGAUUUUAUUUUGUCUUCUUUUCGCUAGCUGAUAGCUUGUGUGUAACAUAAAGUUACACAUGUUUUAUUGAUUCACCUAGUAGAUAGCUUGUGUGUAAAACAUGAGUGUAACACAAGGCUAGGUUACACAUGUUUUGUUGAUUCACCUAGUAGAUAGAUUGUAUGUGACACAAAGUUACACAUGUUUUACACAUCUUAACCUAUACUAAACCACACUUUUGCUUGUGUUUUGCACACUUUUGCUUGUGUUUUGCAUGUAGUUGCUGAAUGAGCAGCUUAAAACUUGGUCUCAAAUAAGAAGGGAAAGUUAUGGGGAAUCUCAAGUUUUGUUUUAUAAACUUGUUAUCUUGCUUUGAUCGAGUUGUUUAUAUUGUUGUUGAAGGUGGUUAUAUUAUGUUUAGUUUUUUAUCAAGUUAUUAUUUGAUCAUAUGUUAAAUAAGAAAUGAAUGAAGUUAUGGGGUUGAGGCUAUUACGUACUUGAAAGGGACCAGCAAUAUUUGUUUUUGUAUACAUGUAGGGAGAGAAGCCUUUCGAUGUUAUAUUGAUAAAAUGAUCUUACGGCAAGAAGACAUUGGUGACCAAUAAUAGUAGAAGAGUAUCAACAACUGAAACCUAAAAUUAUGUGCAUGCACUUAUAUUGAAAUUAUGUGCAUGAUAUUUGCUCUACCGAGUCUUUUGGCUCACCCCUCUAUGAAUUUGUGCAGAUGUUACACUUGAGGGAUAUAAAUAAUUUAAAGUGUAGGAGGAGGAAGAGUGAACAAUUAGCUUACUGUUUUGAUUCAUGACUAUGUAAUAAGGCUUAUUCAAUAAGCUUACUUUCCUGUUUGUUGUAAAAACAAGACUUAUGAAAUAAAAUUCUCUUUCACCGAGUCACUUUGAUUCUAAGUUUUCUACAUAAUUUCUAUUUGCCAAGGUUCUCUUAACUUUGACAAGUCGAAGCUAUCCACGUCUUUACCCUGAAAAAAAAAAAAUUUCUCAAUUUCUGAGUCAGGGUGUGACAUUUUAUUUCUUUUAAUUUGGAAGAUCGAUUUCUACUAGUUAACUGGUUACAUACAUACAUUAGUUUUGUAUUAAAUAUUUUAUCUUACCUAGUAAUUAACUAGCAACGUCCUGGAUUCCCUUUUGACAAGAAAAUACAUUGUUACAAACGAACUACAUUUACUCUUUUCUUAUCAUCAUUUCAUUUCAUUGCUUUUGAGAUGGAAUAAUUGACCUCAAAAUUUAGGGCCUUCAAGAACAAAGUUGUGCAUUUCAUGAUGUGAGUCUUUGAGAAAAAAAAGAAAAGAAGAAGUUAUAUAUAGUUCAUGUAAGUCGAUCGUUUAUGCAUGUUGUUCAUAUUUAUGACUAAAUUUCAGAUUUUCAUGCUCCAUAUAUUUUCUUUAGACAUGCAAAACACAAAUUUAUGAGUUUAUGAGUUCGUGUAUGUACUUUACUGUAUCACACGAUCGACUGAAAUUCACAAUUGGUCUUAAUCGUUAAUCAAGUUGAUAAUUAAGCGCGAUUGGUCGUAAUAAUUCAUAUACAGUAUGCAUGGUUCGUUUGUUAGUUGUCUGUGACUUGUGGUCGAUCAUAACAAAUCCUAGCUACUUCUAGCUCUCGCUGGCUGCGCGCUAGAGAUCUGGCAUUUUCUAUUAAAUUUUAUGCAGUUUAUAUAAGAUAAUCUUCACGUUUCUAGUGUUAUGCUUAAAUUUUUGGUGGAAUUUUGAGAAAUUUUUUUAAGACUUGGUUAGCUUGAUUCAAGUACCUGAUGAGGACCUUCCUACAGGCUACAUCAAUAUGAAUUCCUUGACUGAAGGAGAAAUUUUAAAUGUGGUGACCUAUUAGCUAGUGUCCUCCAACAAACAAGUCACUUUUAUUAUGAGAAAAUUUGUUUACGUGACUAAAAAAUUAAGUGUACGGCUUUAAAUUAAAACAGAAAAUAAAGCACGCAAUAAUCCAUCAACAAUAAAGCAUAUUAUUAGCUUCUCUCUUCUACCGACAUGAAAAAUCUAAAAAGACGACUACCACCGCAUACAAUCAAUCCAAGCUAACCGGUUACUUGCGAUAAAACAUCAUUUCCAACCCAAAUUUGAGUAGGAUCUUCUAUAUAUUCAUUCCACUUUUCAGGUUUUUACUAUACCUCAGUAAAUCAGUAAUCCUGUUCCGGCCAGGAGUUCCAAAAAUAUCAAACCAACAAAUUAACAGAUCAUUUCUCAUUCCGGUAAGGCCAUCAAGAACAAAAUAUACGCGUACGACGACUCUCUACAAAUUAUGGUGUUGUACAUGGUCAUUACUUCCAAAUACAUCGUACCUGGUCUUAUAUGGUUCUCACGAGAAAUAUGCGACAUAUAUAUUGAUGGACGAAAUAUUGUACUUCCACUUGUAAGAGAAGGAAGAACAAGUGAAAGCAACUCAUCACUAGUUUUCUUUCAUUUGGUACGUGUACAUCUAUUUAGGAAUAUUAAACUCGAUCUCACCAAAUCAAAAUAUAUAGAAUUCGGCUCUUGCCUUCUCGACAUGUUGAAGGGUUAUUAACUUCUUCUUCUCUCUCUCUCUCUAUAUACAUAUGAACAACUGAAAAUAUAGAUAUUGUCACUUAAUUUGAUCGAGUAAUGUGUAUUUGAGUAUGCAAUAUCACGAAUGUGAAGUUUUUGUUUUAAUUUCUUCUGCCAAUACGCAAAUCCAACAUGCCGCGUGCAUGAUUUCGAAUUACUGAUCACUGUUUUCCUAAACGUAAAGCCAUCACUUAGUUGAAUCAUACCUAAAUUGUUGCCUAUCUAACAAACUUCGCAAAACUUUUUUAUUUUCUGUGUGUUUGUAAUUAAUUAGGAAGAACGGAUGAGUCACUUUUCAUUGCCGCAACCAGAUGAAAGUAACGGCAUGAGCUGCUGAUAAUUGGAGUUAAACAAAACCAAAUAGUAACAAAUAUAUAUGAAGAAAAACAAACUAAUACCACAAUCUCAGAUGAGCAUGUCAUUAUGUGGUCUUUAAUUAUGUCUCAUGCUACAAGUUUGUUUUUUAAGGUACCUUAAUUACUCCAACGAAUCCUAAUUAAGCUGCUUAUGAUUUUCUCUUCCGGUUCUAAAUAGCUAGUCAGACUAUAUGCUUUAGUGUUGCGAAAGAUCUGUAUGUAGGACAGAGGUACCAUGUCGUGGUUGGUAGCGCAGACUAGCUAAUUAGUGUGCAUGCAUAUAUAAGGUGCUCUAGGUAUUCAAUUUCAUGAAGAAAAUUUAAUUUAACACUCAAAUCUUUUUAUUAUUAUUAUUGAUUGAUCGACCCUACCGUCAUGUAGUCACGCAGGUUUGCGGUACAUGAAACUUUAAAUUUCUUGAGCUUAAUUGAAGAAUUAAAUUCAGUUUACUCCCAUGAGGUUUGGGAAUAACUUCAUGUUAAUCCCUAUGCUUUCAGUUUCAUCAGUUUACCCCUCAAACUUUUGAAUUUUCCUCAAGCGUGACCAAUGUCCUAUAUUCUGUCCAAAUCGGACGUUAACUGCUGAUAAUUUUAAGAAUUAAAUUCAGUUUACCCCCUUGUGGUUUGGGGGUGACUUCAUGUUAGUCCCUACACUUUUAUUUUCAUCAGUUUACCCCUUGAACUCUUCAAUUUCUGUCUGUCAUGCCCAAAUUCUCAUAUUCCGUUUGAAUUGACCUUUAAUUAUCAGCAGUUAAGGUUCGAUUUGGACAUAUAAGGUCCGAUUUGCUCAAAUUCUAGAUACUGGCCUCACAGUUAAGGUUAAAAUUAUCAGCAGUUAACGUCCGAUUUGGACAGAAUAUAGGACAUUUGGUCACGCUUGAGGAAAAUUCAAAAGUUUGAGAGGUAAACUAAUGAAAUUGAAAGUAUAGGGAUUAACAUGAAGUUACUCCCAAACUUCAUGGGGGUAAACUGAAUUUAAUUCUAAUUUUAACCUUAACUGUGAGACUCGUAUCUAGAAUUUGGGCAAAUUGGAUAUUAUCUGUCCAAAUCGAACAUUAAUUGCUGAUAAUUAACGGUCAAUUCAAACGGAAUAUGAGAAUUUAGGCACGGCAAAUAGAAAUUGAAGAGUUCAAGGGGUAAACUGAUGAAAAUAAAAGUGUAGGGACUAACAUGAAGUCACCCCCAAACCACAAGGGGGUAAACUGAAUUUAAUUCUUAAUUGAAAGAAAUGAAACCUACCACAUGAUCUAUUGUCUUUUUUUGGAAACACAUACUAACUAUCUAUUUGAUGUUGCUUAAUCAAUUUUAGUCAAAAAGUCACCCUCAAAUAUAAAUGGUAUAAGCAAUAAUAUAGGGUUUAAGAAAUAUUGUAAAACCCACGAAAAUUAAAUUCAUUUCACUGAUCAACUAGGGUGUUAAUAGAGGAAUAUGAUGCCACAAGCUUGGCAGAGGAUGUGGAAACCUCGUCUUGAAGGGAUGGAUAGUACAAGCACUCGACAUUUGACCCAUAUUGAGGUCCAAAUCGAGUCAGUUUUGGCAAUUUGGAUCCAAACUGUUGGAGCGAUGAUUUGAAUGGCGAUAGAGAUGGCAGCAUGAAGAAAUGGGAGGACUAAUUUGGGGCACCUAUUGGGUUGUGUGCCCUUAACAUUUCUAUUUGGGCAUGGCCUACAAUGUUCACUAAGGUUUUGACCUUUGAGCUGAGUUUUAAUGGUAACGUCUUAAAGGUUGAAUUGUCUCUUAUCAUGUAAUGAAUUUUUCUAAGUGUGCCCUUAACAUUCCUAUUUAGGCAUGGCAUACAAUAUUCACUAGGGUUUUGACUUUUAAGCUGAGUUUUAAUGAUAUGAUUAAACGUCUUAAAUGUUGAAUUGUCUCUUGUCAUGUAAUAAAUUUUUCUAAGUGUGCCCUUAAUAUUUCUAUUUGGGAAUGGCGUACAAUGUUCACUAGAGUUUUGACAUUUGAGCCGAGUUUUAAUGAUAUGCUUAAAUGUCUUAAAUGUUGAAUUGUCUCUUGUCAUGUAAUGAAUUUUUCUAAGUGUGCCCUUAACAUUUCUAUAUGGGCAUGGCGUACAAUGUUCAUUAGGGUUUUGAUAUUUGAGCCGAGUUUUAAUGGUAUGUUUAAACGUCUUAAAGGUUGAAUUGUCUCUUGUCAUGUAUGUAAUGAAUUUUUCUAAGGGUAAAUCAUACAUAAUUAUCUUGCUUAUCAAUAAAUGACAUGUCAUAUGUCUUCCAAAAAAUAGUAAUGAGCUGGUACUUGACAUAGAAUUCCAGAUUUCUCAAUUUUAAUUAAGAAAUGUUGAAAACAUACCACAUGAUAUAACUGUCUUUGUUUGGAAAGCACAUACUAAAUAGCUAUUUGAUGCCUUGACCUAGUUUCUUUUCUUGAACGAGACAAGAGAUAGAGAGAUGAAGGCAAUUGAAACUUAACGCGGACGAAAAAUUAAUCAUGCCACAUGACGUAACCGGUUUUAUUGGCAAAGUACCUAUUUAAUACCUUCACCCAAUUUUCCCCCUCUUCCAUCUCAUGGACCAAACUACAUUUCAUAUUUAGCAAAAAAUAUGUGAUGGCAACAAAAGAAGUUUAUGGGUAAAAAUUUGAUGCCUAUGGUCUCAUACUUUCUCUCUCUAGCCAUUUUUUUUAUGGAAUUCUUUCUAGCUAGUUGUAUUUUUAAACGUCUAGUAGUACUUUGUAUCAAACAAAAAAACAAGUCUAAUACGUUGUAAUUUUCAUAGUCUUCAAUUCACAUGUUGUGGAUGACAUAGCAUGAUAACACCUGUGACAUUUUUGGAAGGUUUCCAAUAUUUUUCUGAACAAACGGGGGGAAAAAAAAACCAGUAAACGUAACGUAAAUUCAGCAAAACUGCUUUGGUAAUAGAAUUCCCUUUCUACCCCUAUGUGACCUCCAUGACUCCCACCACUCUUUAGCUAAUGGGUUACUUUUUCCUAACCAAGUCCCACUUGAAAACGGAGACUUGACCGAUCUGGUGGGUCGUGGAGCGCGUGACCCGGUGGCACGAGCUUCGCGCGGCUUUGUGAGAGAAAGCGAGCCACCUUUUCAGAGGUGGUGGCACCACCACUAGUGGCGGGGGUUGGUAUGUCUUUUGCCCAAUUAUCGUUCGAACCUUCUUUUUUCAGACCUCUAGAGCAGCUUUCCAAAGAAAAGAAGAAAGGUGUGCUCUAAAGCACGUGACACCCGUUCACCUUCUGUGAGGCUACUUUUGUUUUUACUGUGAGUAAAAAGUGACAAGAACGACAUGUAAAUGUUUUAAUUAUUUUUACAACAGUCUAAACCGUCGUGUUUUGACUUGAAAUUAGUUUCAAUCACAACAUUUUGUACUAACUAACAUCAUAACAAUUUGUAAUUUUCUUCAACGAAUUACUCAUCAAUUAUGAGUAAGGUGGUGUUUCUUGAGAGAGACGAGAUGAGACUCGAUCGAAAAGAAAAUGAGUGAACAUUCGCUUGAGAGGCGUGAUUCAUCAAGUCAAUUCUCCUCGACGUUUCAAGUUUUCAUGAAGUCUACGAUCCGAAAAAAUCAAAGAAAUAGUGAGAUGAUUGUCAUUAUGCAUGAACAAGCGACUCAUUGGUGAAAGGGCUUUUAUAUUUGCUUGUUGAUAUUUAAAUUAUUUGGUGUGGUGUUUCCCUUUUCAACAACCAAAUAAGCUUCCUUGUUAAACACGUCUACUAUGGUUAUUCGUCAGUUUUUUUUUGGGUCUCCUCGAAACUCUCUAUAAAUACCCAAACUCUCCGCCUUCAGAUCCUUCCCUUUCCCCCAUUCUCUUAUUUCUCUCUUUCUGUUACAUCCCGUAUCUCCCCCUCGCCAUUUUUAGGGUUUUCCAGCUAUUUUCUCGCCGAGGUUAGAAGGACACAGCUCUGCUUUCUCCCUUCCCCAUCCAUAUUUCCUUUCUGAUUCUCAUUGGUUUCUGAAAUGUCGGUCCCUCUUUUGAUUCCCAGGUUUCGGAUUCUUUCUUGAUUCAAGAUCUCGAUCGUUAGCUCUCCUGUUGGUUGAUAGAUAAAACUGAAGCCCUUCGUUUCCUAGCUAGCUCCUAAUUAAUCAGGUCAUUAUAUACUAUUUUCUCAAAUCUCUUUCAUUCGUUUGUGUCGGUAAUUUUCUUGUUACCGAUCAUAGAUAUGCAAAUGCUGUUCGGAUUUCCAGACGGAUUUGCCUGUGGAGGAAACUCCUCACGUAUUCCGUCGGUUCAUGAUCAAAAUCAAAACUAUUUGGCAUUCUUUCAUUAUGUUCUCUUCAGAUCGAUCUUUAAGCAAAAAUGGCGGACCUUUUAAAGUUUGUUGCAUGAAUGGUUGGCCCUGGAACCAUUAUUUGCUGUCGAUGUUUGCAGACAUGGUUUUGGGACCGUCCAUGAUCGUAUGCAUCUGGUUUCUGUAUGAUCAAUUAUUUUUCAUAUUUUGUGUUUGUUUUUAUGAAUAAUUAGGAGGUUUAGUCGGCGGAAUAUAUCAUGACGUAUAUGCUUAUAAGAGUGAUCAAAGAAAAUGACUCGACAGCACAGAUUGUUCUUUUACCUUAUUUUAUGAAUUUAUAAUUUGUCGGUUGCUGUAACCAAUGAAGAAAAGGAAAAGAUGUUGAUUUUCACAACGUGUAACUUCGAUUAUUUUCCUUGAUGUAACCCAUUAAAGAAAGACAAGUUCAUGGACUUUGAAUGAGAAGAUGCAUGUAUUUCUAUUUGCAUUUCUGGGUUCUAUUUGCUGUAUAUGUUAUUGAAUAAGUAACAUUCAUGAUUUGUCUUGCUAGCCAUUCUAAGCAAUCUCUUUCUUUCUGGUGGAUACUCAGAAACUAUGAACGUUCUGAUGAAUCUUUAGUUAACUUUUAUUUAUUUUUAUUUGUUUUUGGUGGGGAUCAAGUUUCUAUGUUUUGUUUGGGUAGUUGUGGUGUCUUGUCAGCACCAGAAAUUAUGUUAUCUUAAUUUUUAUUAUUGUUGUUCGACUCAAGCUAUUGUGAAGGUUAUGAGUUCUUAGAUCUACUUCAAAGUGAAAGCAACUAAAUUUAUCAAUUUUUGAAAAGAAAAAGAUAUAUUAUUAUACACUUAAGUGACCCAACACGAUCCCAAAGUGAGUCUUCAUAUUACAGAACCCUGUUGCGAUCUUCAUCCUCUAUCAUGUAAUUCAAUUAUCGGAUUUAUUCACUUCUUUGAUUAACCUGACCUGAUUGUUUUUCUUGUGACUAUAUUGUUUUCUAUAUUAGUAUAGAAUUCAAGCAUGUGAUGUGUAUCAUGUUUGGGUUUAGUUUCCUAAUUUUUGAAAUGAUUAAACACUUCUUUAGGAUGAUUUAUCACUUUAAUCACUGUAUAAUCUUGGAAUAAUUGAACUCCUAAUCUCAUAUGGUUCCACAGCAUGUUUUGGAUUAUAUCUGUGUAUAGAUGAUUUUUGAGCUAUAUGUAUAUUGAUAACGCUCCACCAAGUGCGUCUGCUAAUGGACAAAUUGUGUAAGUUUUAUAUAAAAUAAAACCAUGAAAAAAGAAAAAGAAACAAGAAAUGGCACCAUAUGUUUGUGUUCUGUAGAUAAGAAGAUAAUACACUUAUGGUUGGAAUAUUUUAAUUUAUGGGUCAUAAACAUUUCACUCCUAUUCUUUAGUUUAAUGGUUUAUAUCCUUCUGGCAGUAUAAGAGUUUGAUGUUUAAAAAGUUGGUGUAUGUUGUGCAAUCUAAUUGCAUUUCAUUCAUUUUGAGUCUUUUCCGGGUAAUCUUUUAUUUCUUCAAUAGAAGCCAUUUGUUAUUGUAUCGAUUUUUCAGCUGAGAUCUGCUGUCAAUCUUAAGGGAACAAUAGAAGAUAACAAUCUGGCUCCUUAGUUUGUUCUUUUUCGAUAUAUCUAGUUUCGAGCGUCUUAGCAAUCUGCUUAGCUUUAGAAAAUUGCUGGUUUUCAUUCGACAUCAAGUAAAUUAAUAGGAAGUUCUAUCACUUCUGUUCAGCAGUGACCAUUUUAGUUGAUUGUAAGUCAAGAAAACUUGUGUUUGUGGUAGUUUGGGUCAGAAUUCAUUGGGGUGGGGUCUUUGAAAAUAAGCUAUCAGUACUCCCUAUCUAAACUAUUGUUCUUGUCUAACCUCAUUUAAAAUCAAAUUAGGUAACAUACAUCUAAGGUGUGAAUUAGUAAACUAUGACAAGAAUCUAUGUAUUAAUUUAUGUGUGUCCCUAUUUAUCGUUCGAUACUGUCCGAUGAGUUUGACUUUGCUUGUUUUUGUGUCUGGUGUUGUAAAGUGUACAUAUGUAACCUGUGAAUUUUUAUGGGUCUAGUAAUUCCUUCUAGUAUAGUUCCUUCCUUGCAGCAUAGACUUGAAAUCUCAAUUUUUAUAUUUUUGAGCAAUGAGUUUCAAGUGCUGCCAGUCAAUUUGAACUGUGUUACGUUUAUCCCUAGUGAUUGUGAGUAAUGCAGUUGAAGCACAAAAUUUCAUUUGCAUUCAGAGAUAUUUAGCCAAUUUUUAUUGUUCUGCAGGAAGAGCUUUGACACUAUCUGUUGAUAUUUGAAAGCACAAGUCUUUUCUUCGAAGAUCUUUCUUGAUAUAUUUCUAUGAAUGCAAUGUCAUUCUGGGGAUGAGAAGGUGUGCUUCGAAUGCUUAUUCUGUUUUUGCACAUUGAUGUUCUAAAAUUGUUGAUUGUGUCUUUGCAUUUGAUACAAUAAUAUCGUCUACAGAUUUGAGCAAGCCUGUGCUUAAUGGACUGCUCACCCACUAGCUGUGACAAGAAAACAUUAAAGAGGUGGUUCUUCAUAGACAAGAGAGUCGGGUAGAAGUAUCUCAGUUUCACAGCAGAGUCUGUUUUUGACAGAGUUUCUUUCAUACCAAUCCUAUACUGUAAUUGUACCUUGUAAGAAAAACCAAUCUGGAUCCGAUGGAGUUGAAGACAAACCAUGCUGCUCCUGUUCUCACCGAUCCUGCACCUACUAUUAGUAAGUCAAGACUAGGCAUCCAUUCUAGUUUGUUGCCAUAUUCACAGCAAGGAGCACCAUUCUCUGGCAAGUAUAUCACAAUUCCAAGGAAAAAACCAGGAAAGCUUGAUGAUGUCUGGUCCAACGGUUGGCUUGAUGCCAUGAAAUCCUCUUCACCUCCCAGAAAGAAGCUCAAUAAGGAUUUCAGUGUCGAGGUUGCUUCAGAUGAUACUGAUAAUUCUUACCUCUCUUGGAUGGUAUUUUGUUGCUUCACUUUGAUUUUUUAUUUGUUUGUCAUUCCUAAUGUAUUUGCAUUUUGAACUUAUUUUCUCUGUGAUGUGCAGCUUAAGCAUCCAUCAGCACUCAAUUUUUUUGAGCGCAUUACAAAUUUUGCAAGGAACAAGAAGAUAGCGGUGUUUCUAGAUUAUGAUGGGACUCUUUCGCCCAUAGUUGAUGACCCUGAUCGUGCAUUAAUGUCUGAUGCUGUAAGAAUUGCAUCUUGUUGUAUAGGAAUUUCAAAUUUUUAUCAUCUUCUGGUUCUGAAAUCAUACAUAUUAUUGGCAGAUGCGUGACGCUGUAAGAAAUGUUGCAAAGUAUUUUCCAACUGCAAUCAUUAGUGGAAGAAACCGUGAUAAGGUAGCACUAGCAUUAGUAUUAUAUUUUGCUUUUUAUUGCUCAAAGUUAAUAUCAUCUUGUCCAGUUGUUCUUUAUAUGGUUGUCAUCAGUCUGAUCAAGCAGGGUGCUUAUGUUUCAGGUUUAUGAAUUGGUAGGACUAACAGAACUUUAUUAUGCUGGUAGUCAUGGAAUGGACAUAAUGGGUCCUGUUACUAAUACAAACAGUGUGAAUUCUACUGACAAACAGGUAAACUGUCAGUGAAGUCCUUCUGUUUACCCUUCAAGAUUAUUCUCCAUGUCAAACUGAACAAUUUCUAUUUAUUUCGAUCUUGAUAUGGUAGGGCAAGGAAGUAAAGCUUUUCCAACCUGCUAAAGAGUUUUUACCUAUGAUCGACGAGGUGAAUAUUUUUUCAUGUUUAUGGAAAAAGAUUCACAUUGACAGUGUUGACAUUCAUACCAGGAGAUUGAUUGAUUGCUGUUCUUUUGUGCAGGUUUUUAGAACCCUCGUUGAAAACACUAAGGAAAUCAAAGGCGCAAAAGUUGAAAAUCACAAGUUUUGUGCUUCUGUACAUUAUCGUAAUGUAGAUGAGAAGGUACCAAAUAACUUCUUUCAUAUAGCUCAAACAACUUAAUGUUACAGCUUACAUUUCUUACCUGUUUGGUUGGUUUUGGCUUCUCUUCUUGCUACAGAACUGGUCAACAAUUGGUCAACGUGUUCAUGAUGUCCUAAAAGACUACCCUCGUUUACGAUUAACUCAUGGGCGGAAGGUAAUCACCAGUUGCCCUUUUGUAUUAACUCCAUUCAUAGAUAGGUUCAAAUAAUUCUUUCAUCUGACAAUGACUUUUGGACUUGCUAUUCCUUGUAUUUAUUUUCCAGGUAUUAGAGGUCCGCCCUGUAAUUGACUGGAACAAGGGAAAAGCAGUUGAAUUUCUGCUUGAAUCUCUUGGUAAUAAUUCUCUUUCUGAAAUGAUAUUACAAAUUUAGCUGUGCACAGUGCAUCUAAAUGGUUCAAUAGUCCGGAUUGAAACUGACACACAAAUUCUUGUGUAGGGCUAAAUAGUAGGGAUGAUGUGCUUUCAAUAUAUAUUGGUGAUGACAGGACUGAUGAAGAUGCAUUCAAGGUACGUAAAAUCAAAUCCACAAUAACUAAAAUUGAUCAUCUUACUGUGCGACUCUUGUAACUUUCAUAGACAGUAUAUGGUACUAAGACAGCUUCUUCACUGUUUCAGGUCUUGAAGAAAGGUAACCGAGGAUAUGGAAUUUUGGUAUCUCCUACUCCGAAAGAAACCAGUGCCUUUUAUUCUCUCAGAGAACCAGCAGAGGUUUACUCUCUCAUCCAUAAAAUUCAUGCGUUGUGUGAAGGCUGAUAUCAACGGUGUGCACAUUGUCUUCAUCUGAUCUAACCGAAGAGUUGAACUUUAUUUUGCAGGUGAUGGAAUUCCUCAAGGCCUUGGUGAGCUGGAAGGAACAGGAAGAAGCCAAUUGAGCUUGAACAUGGAGCACUUAGUGAUUUGAAUAUAGUAUAGGCUUUUGGUUUUGAAUAUUGUACUCGAGAAGAACUCUCAUGCGUUUAAAAGCUGGCUGGUUUAUCAAUAGUCUCAGUUCAGUGCUUAUCAAUUAUUUCAUGUCGAUCAUUUAAGCUUACAAGAAAAGUCUUUUCGUGCUAAGAUGUUUAGUCUGAUGAAGUUAUAUAUAUCCAGGAAGACAUUGCUAAGGCAAUGUUGGCUGCUCAUUGUCGCCGUACAGUAAUCUCAGUGAAGCAUCACAUCAGAGCUUUUCAUUCAUGUUUUGCACAAGUCGCAUGCUCAAACAGCAAUCCCGCUUCUCUCGCUGUUAACUUUUAAGACGAAUGCUAGCAACUUUCUCCGUAAAAAUCCCUGAUGGUCUUAAAAUAGGUUAUGGACCUACAAGCCCAAGCUGCACACACACUGAAGGAGUGAAGGGCCCAGAUGAGUAGAUCAAAAUUCUCAAAUAACAACAACAAAUGAAGGAAGCUGACUUGACUUGGGUUAAGAUAUUAUUGUCUUUUUUGUAGCGGAGAGUACAAUACCAUAGAACUUGUUCCUAUCUCAUUCAUCUACCUUAACUCCAAAUAAUUCUUCUCCUCGUUAUCUUCAUCUAUAUUAUCCAGAUAUUAUCCGACUCCUUAUGUAAACUACUCUGAUUCCAGAUCAAGCCACAAAAAUGUACUACAGACAUAGAAAUCCUGUCUCUACAUUUGUACCAAUACAUUAAUGUAUGUACCUUAGAACCAUACAUCAAAUUAUGACAUGACCUUAUUUUAUCGAAAACAAAAUUAUUUUCCAUCCAGAAGAAAAAAAAAAGAAAAAAAAAGUAGAUCGGUGAGUGCAUAUAAAAGACACACACCGCAUCAGUAACUUGCAACUCCAACUGACUUGUUGUCGAGACCAGAGAGAGAGAAAAUGUCAGUGUCGUUGCAAUCUCCGCCUUCCUCAGCAAUCUCCUCGUCUUUGCAUUUCCAGGGAAGAAAGCUGAGCUUGUUUAAUGGAUCCAAUCUGCUCUUCACCUCCCGCCCAUCACUUCCUCUCCUUCGCGCUUCCGCUCUCGACACUGGUCACUCCUCACUCCUCUGCUCUUUUCUACUUGUUUGAUAUUGUAUUUGGGUUGCUAAGUCAAUUUGAUUUUCAGGGUCCGCUACUGAAUUGGACGCCGUGUCCAGCUUCAGUGAGAUCGUUCCUGACACCGUCAUUUUCGAUGACUUCGAGAGGUUCUUUUCACUCUUCUUUCACUCACAAACAACUAGUAUUUGAAAUUACUAUCAUUUUCUUGUUUGCAUCCAUGUUUUGUUGAAAUGUUGAUACUUUAUUUGCUUCCUUCCUUUUUGUGUUAAACUGAUCAACUAAAAAUGAUCUCGUAAAAACAUGCAUUUCCCCAAUUGAUUGAAGGUUUGGUUUACUGGUUAUCUGUAAAUAGGUUUCCUCCAACUGCUGCUACUGUGAGCUCUGCUCUACUCUUGGGUAUCUGCAGUCUUCCAGACACCAUAUUUAGAGUAAGCAUUUCUCUUCGGAAGAUGAAAUCUUGAUUGCGAAACCUGUGUUUACUUUAUAUUAGUUAGUCACUGAUGGUCUUUCAUUUGGUCUAGAAUGCUGUGGAUAUGGCGCUGGCAGAUUCCGAGUGUAAUAAGCAUGAGAAUUCCGAAUUGAAGUUGUCUUGUUUCUUUAACAAGGUCCGUUGUCUUGUAACACAAUCAUUUCGCUAUUAGCUUGAUCUUGUGGUUCAGAAUUGUGUUCUGGUUGUGUAGGCUUUAGUUAAUGUCGGUGCUGAUUUGGCAAAACUAGUUCCUGGCCGAGUGUCCACUGAGGUGGAUGCACGUCUUGCUUAUGACACACAUGGGAUUAUUAGGAAGGUACUGGCUUUUCUUUGUAACUCAACUUUUUAUUUUUGCUUUUUAGAGAUAAUGCUAAUGGAUUGGAAAUCUAUUAUGUAAUCACUGAUUGUCACGAAUGAUAUCUUGGUUGCUAGUAUAUCUCAAACAAUGAAUGCAUUCGGAAUCCUCAGAUUAUACUCAUUUCUUACUUUCUUCUUUGUAGCAGUUACUUUACAAAAUGAUAAUUUUGCCAAGGUUUGUCAAUUUGUUAUUUCAUUGAGCCCUGUCAUGGUUGGCGCUGUAGUUCUGCAAUGACAUUUCAAUAGUUUCUAACUUAAGUGGCUUUGUCAUUGGAGAACACUAUUUUGCUCUGCAACUCUCGUUUUGUUUUUUCUUUGGUCCAAGAAAAUGCAAAUUUGGAUGCAUAAUAUGUGUGAGGCAAAAAUAAUAUGGAAAUGUUGUUAUAAUUCGUAUGCUGCUUGUUGUUUUUCCCAACAUUUGCUUGUCUGCCUGUGGUGUCCCUUUCAAUUUUAUGCCACUGGAUUUUUCACUGUUGUCUGAAUGGCUGUCUGAGACAAUUGGUUUAUAAAUAUGCAGGUGCACGAUCUACUGAAGCUGUACGAUAGAGUUGAUGUUCCCCCUGAGCGUUUGCUGUUCAAAAUUCCUUCAACUUGGCAAGUAAGUAUCAGAUAAAUAGUGAAAUUUCAAGUUGCGCUUGAUAUUCUAUUGUGCAUGAAUGUAUUUAUCUUUUUGUCAACAUCACCUGUAGUUGUUGAUUUUGUAUUCAGGGAAUAGAGGCUUCUAGAUUACUAGAAUCUGAGGGCAUACAGACGCAUUUGACAUUUGUGUACAGGUAAAGGUUCUUGUAAUCAAACUGUUUUAAGCAUGACAACCAGCUUCAUAAACAUUUCUUUGUGCUUAAUUCAGAGACUUAAGAAACAAAUUAAUUUUGUGCUUUAUUACGGAUUGACGAUUGAAAGAUUAUACUUAAUUGAUCAUGAACAAAAUUUUACAAGAAAUGAUCUUUUACAGUUGUAAAGGAGGAUAAGUUUUAAUGAGAUCUUCUCUCUCUGUAUUAUAUAUAUAUAUAUAUAUAUAUAUAUAUAUCUGUGUGUGUGUGUGUAUAACACACAUACANNNNNNNNNNNNNNNNNNNNGGACCGCUUCGUGAUGAGGGUUUCGAUCAUUUUUUCUUCAGCUUUGCUCAAGCUGCAGCUGCUGCACAAGCUGGCGCUUCUGUUAUUCAGAUUUUUGUUGGGCGUCUUAGGGUAAUGUUGUAUGUCAAAUUUGUAUGCAAACUUUCUUAAUUUAAUGUUUAUUGAUUGUUAAAGGUAUAUUUAUCAUUCAGGACUGGUCUCGCAACCACUCUGGUGACCCGGAGAUAGAGGCUGCUCUCAAAAGAGGAGAGGAUCCUGGGUUGGCCCUGGUAAGUUGGAGAGUUCUCAUCUUGUGGUAUUGUACUUAUGUACUGCUGUUUUUCGCAGUCCUUAAAGGAAACAACUUGCUGUUUUUAGUUGUACAUCUCAGUUAUGAUUACUUGUCAAAUAUACAAGUGGUUUGCAUUUUGUAAGAUUUUCAACUUUUUUUUUUUCAACUUGUUUUUCCAGUUGUAGUGUCAUCUACCGAAUUCUCAACACCAUUAACAUUGACAUUUAAGCAUUCAUUGCAAAUUUUAUCCCCAUCACAUAUUGAAGUCCUCUAGGAUGGUUUUGAACUUGCUAUGUGUAGAAUUAUUCAAGUGGCCUGGUUCAAGAAACUAAAAUAAGACAGCUUCUGUUUUACUAUAAUAAUGACUACAAAACUGCUCCCAUCUGAGAUAUUUUCUGACAUUGCAGGUGACAAAGACAUAUAACUACAUUCACAAAUAUGGACACAAGUCAAAGUUGAUGGCAGCAGCAGUUCGCAAUAAGCAAGACUUAUUCAGUCUCCUAGGGUAAGUUUAUACAACUUGCUUCUUAAUAUUAUGUAGCUGGAAAUUCGCACAUAAUGAACUUAAUGAGUGACCUUCCUGCUCAUGUUCUCUGGUAUUCAUUUAGUGUCGACUACAUCAUUGCACCACUGAAGGUAUUGCAAUCACUCAAAGAAACAGUCACUACUCCUGAAGAGAAGUACUCUUUUGUCAGGAGGCUAUCUCCACAAUCUGCUGCCAAGUACAAUUUCAAUGAAGCAGAGGUCUACCUUCUUUCCUGUUCUUGUUUUUACUUUAUUUUAUUUCUCCGAUCAGGAGUUUCUCAUUAUAACCUAUUUGCUAGCUAGUGGCGAAUGAACUAUAAUAUAACUUCAAACAAUAACAUAAUGCAAUUAAAAUAUUACUAUAAGCCACGGUAGGCAACAUGAUGACUCAGUUGAACAUGCUCACCUGUUUGUUUUCUGCACUCCUAUUGGUACUUCAAUUUUGAUCUUUUAAAAGGAAGAAAAAGAAUGUAUCUUUAGAAUCUAAACGAUACCUAAUGGUUAAUGCAUCUAUUUUGUUGAGAAGAAAGACCAAGUAUGUUACUCAUGCUAAGCGUUAGUAUUUAGACUAUGUACUGUUUACAAUACUUGCCAAAUUUUGUGAUGAGCAUGUUUAGUUACCCAUGAUAAUGUCUUCAAGUUUCGAAGCGAAAGGCAAGAACUGUUUAUAAGUUCAAGCAAUAUAUGUGGUCAGCCAUCAACAUUAUUACUAGAAAUUCAUUGACUAUGGAGUUGGCAUUCCUUAAAUCUGCUAGAAACACCAACAAAAUUCCUUAUCACUACAUCUUAUAUAAAACAUAAUUUCCAUUCUGCCAUGUGGCCAGCCACCAUCUGCCUUAUCAACUCGUUAGUGUAACCUCUGACCCAAAAAGAAAAACUCAGUAGUAUAACCACUUUGAUCACCUAGCCUGCAAUCACUUCAACAGAUGUCUCAUAUUAUCUGCCUUGGUUUCCAUGAUAGUAUGAGACCACUCAAUACCUCCUUUGACAUUGUAGUAGCACCACCAUGGCACCAUUCUUGUCAUGCUGACGGCAAUAUGUAUUUCUACUCAUAGGUAGGAGGAAAUCAGAUCACAUAAGUCUAGCUAAUGUACUUAUAUUCAUCCCACAUAGGACAGAUAUGUGACGUCUUAGGGCUCCCCACUAAGAUAUUGCAUUUAUGCUCCCCACCAUAAACAUACGUGAUACUUCAUCCUUACAAACAGUGAAUUUAGUAGGCUCAAACAAGCAGUUAUUGCUCGUGUUAAUAUUAAGUACCUGAAUUAAUCUCUGGCUUCAGCCGUUCAGGAAAGGUUAUGAUUGCUUAGAGGCCUGCCAAAUUGUUUUGGUUCAAAUUGAUAGGCCUCUUUGUUGAAAUUUAUCUCCGACUGUUUAGUUUACCCAACUGAACUGGUUAAUGGACGUGGGUUGGUUGUUUUUCUUUUGUUUAACAUUUAUUAACCAAUCUUCGUCUUUUCAGCUCAUUAAGUGGGACCAAUUAACAUUUGCAUCAGCCGUGGGGCCUGCAGCCGUGGAGCUUCUGGCUGGUGGACUGGAUGGUUAUGCGAAUCAAGCAAACCGAGUUGAGGAAUUAUUUGGAAAACUUUGGCCACCUCCAAAUGUGUGAAGAGCUCUGUUAAGUUGUUCUGCGGAUCUUCCCUUCACCAGGAAUAAGAGUGAAAUGCCGGUUCGGGUCGUGCUUUUCCUUUUUCCUCUCCUCUCUUUGUAAUGUUUAUAUCCAGCAAAGACCAGAUAUCAGAAAAGUUCUUGAUUUUGUCAUAAAAGACGUGCACAGCUUAUCUGAACUUGUUAAUAGACAUGAGAUGGGCAUGCUGGUGAAGCUGUAGCUCUCAUCCUGUAACAGUGUUCACCCCUUUCCCCUUUUUGUAAAACUUGCCAUGUGGUAACAAAGAAUCAGAAAACUCCCCAGGACCCAAUGUGUGCUAUAUAUCAUUCAUCUUUUCACAGUAGCAAUACCAAAACAGGUUUCUGAAUGAUUCUCAACGACCAAUUCAACUCAUUUCAGGAUUCCAUCGAGAAGACAUUUACGGUUCUCAAUUAUUCAUGAUCGAAGACCAAUUCGGUUCUCUUGUUUGCAAUCUUGUAUUAUGGCGUUGGCUUGGUUUAUAUCUUAGGAAGUUUUUCGAUGAGUAUAUAUCUUAGGAAGUUGGAAUUAAUCUUUGUGGUGUAGAAAUGCAAGAAGAGAAAAUUAAAACUUAUCCUGUCAUGAUUCAUGACUCAUCAUGACUCAUGAGAAGGUACUAAUUAAACUCAUAUUAAUGGAGAUCGAUUUGAAUAUUUGAGAGGGCGGCCUGAUGAAUUCUUAUCUACACUCCAUUCGUAAGAAAGAAAGGAAAACAAAGGGAAUAAAAGGACGUUGGUUGGAGGUUCCAAUUUCCAAACUGUGAUUUGACAGAACUGAACAACAUGGUUAAUAAUCCAAUCCAAUAGUAUAUAUAUCCUCCAAAAGGGGACUGAUCUAUAGCUCCAUUUUGUGAUUCUGUGGAUUUGCAAAUCCCUUGUUUCUCUAUCUUCAUGGAGCCGGCCAGUUGCAUGUGGAAGACUCUAGCUCCAGCAUCUCAGCAUAUGGGGGUCGGCACUUGCAUGUGGAAACAUGCACAAACCUCAACAAUGCCAAUCAGUUAAUCAUGCAGCAAACUAAUUAGAAAACUACAAAAGGGUUGCGUUCUGGUUUAGGUUGCUUGUGUAUUUAUUCAUUUUGUUUUUUGCACAACAAUGCAUCAUUAUUAGUGGAAGACAAAACUCUAUAAUGAGGAUUUGAUAUUGGCCAAGGAGAACAAUGAUAUUAAGCAAAGCUGCCGAGUCACCAUGUUAGGGCCAAUAAUGAAACCUAAUAUAUGUGGAUAUAUAUAUAUAGACCACGGAUCGAUGAUCCUACUUGGUAUAAUUUGGUAUUUUCUAAUUUGUAAUCAACAGUUUAGCAGAUGUCGCCUUCUAAAUCCACGUACAUCUGAAUCACCAAGAGCCUUGUUAAGUUGAACUGCUCAACCAGGUCUUUUGUGGAGCUGAUAGUAAACCUACAAUAUGGGUGAGCCAUCGCUCUUAUUAGUUUGGCUCUUGUUGAUCGAGUCUUGUAUAUGUCAAAUUUGAGAAAAAGGAAAGACGAUACGACUACGUUACAUACAUCCUCCAUGCCAUGCCAGCAGACUUAUAAUUAACACAUGGCAUUUCUGUUACCUUGACGUACAGCCUCACGUUAAUCAUUCCUUAAUUAAGAACAAAAUGUUAAAUGCCAUUUCCAUUCAAGCUCAAAAGUUCAUGAAUUAAUAUUAAAAUUUCCUUACAAAUUUAUGAUGAUAGGACAAGAGAGCAGCUUACCCACCAGACUCGCAAAGCCAGCUUCAAACCCUGUUGUCCACUUCUUCAGCAAACCAGAAAUUUCUUUGUCCACUUGUGUCCCCUCCCCAUGCCAGUUUUCAAAACCUAAAUUACCUUAAUCUUCCUCGUGCUUUAUAUACAUGGAACACAUGCACCUUGUCUGAAACUCUGACCCCCCAACUCAUUUGGAAGGAUACGAAAUCCAGGAACUAGCCAGUAUAAAACAACCCCAUUACUCUCUCGUUUCAGAUCAAAAUACUUGUAAUAACCUAAGGCCAGCUGAAUCCCCCAUGGCAGACAGAAGGCCUUUGCUUCCGUCCGACCCCGAUGCCCUUCCCACAGCCUACGCCGGAUCCUCCUCCUCUCCGGAGAUCCGGCGGAUACACGUGAAGGAGGUCCUGGCGAUGUUCGCCGGGGUUGUGAUGGUUUCUUUGUUGGUGGUCAUUAUAGGGAAUACUGGUCAUGAUCAGGAGGCCGGGAAUGCCAGCCACCACCGGAACUACAUGCCUGAUAAGCCAAUGCCAUUGACUUCGUCUUCGCCGACCAAUGAGACUGCGACCAUACCAGACAAGUUGCAGGCGGUGUCACGUGGCAUGGCGGCCGGAGUGUCGGAGAAGUCGAGCCGGUUGUACAGCAGCGGCUUCGGGGCAGGCACGCCGGUGUAUCCGUGGAACAAUAGCAUGUUGUCGUGGCAGAGGACUGCCUUCCAUUUUCAGCCGGAGAAGAAUUGGAUGAAUGGUAUGCAUAUGUUUGCAUUUACUCUUCUUUAAUCUGUAGGUUAUUUGAAUACUCAGAUUUCGAUUCAGCUAACUCCAAGAUAGAUACAUUGAACUACAUAAUUCUCCUAAUGCCGGCUCUAGCCAGAACACAACUCCUUAAUCUCUUCCUUCUUUUUUUUUUCCCCUGAUCUUUCACAAUUUUUCAUUUAUUGAGAGGCCUAGACAAAAUGAUUUGCUUGUAUUGAAUUUUUAAGUUAUGGGCCAAAAAUGAGAUGUAUGUGUUGAUUUGAAGCAUGUGGGUGGCAUAAAGGAAGACAUUUGUACUUGGUUUUUCUUCACUAUUUGGUUGCAAAAAGAUUAUUUCUUCAUUUUCUUGUGGGGGUCGUGAACAAAGUGAUUCUACUUUUCAAAUUUUCAAGAUGUCUAUCCCAUACUCUGUCUAAUACUUUUACAUUUUAUUUCUGAGUUUCUUGUUACGUAAUACUAAAAUAACAUUACUUUAAUUUUCAUGUUAAGAUGAGAUUUCGUGAUUUUUAAGUAUUCAAUAAUAUAAAAUUAGUAGAGAGACGAUCGCAUUUUAUUUGAAAAGAAAAACAACUAUUCAAUCCAAAAUUCAUUUGGUCUAUUCCUUAUAUAUAUGCAAACGUUCUUAUCCUUUAUUUCUAAAAAGAGAAGUGUAUACGUUCCAAAUUAUCAACCUUAGUACGUACUUGACUCAUGUUAACAAUAAAAUGAUGUAAUUGUCUACCUAUGACCAAAACUUGUGGUGCCAAAGAAUUGUCACCGAAAAAACUUAUUCGUAAGAAAAGUAUUAUUGGUGACUAACUAAUACAAACGUACCCACCUUAAAAUGAUGGCUUUGACUGCAAGUAAACUAAUCAAAUGCAUAUAUACGUACGUGAUACAAUUUUCAAACACGCGCGUUCUUUUGCGUGAAUAGAUUACUUUCUUCAUUUUAUUUUAUUUAUUGAAUUUCAAUUGUUUAAUUUCUACAUUAUUGAUUUUGGUUGUUUCCUGUGCCUUGUCCUUUUCAUUUGCAAUGCUCUGAUUCGGGAAUCCUCUUCUUGCUGCUUCAGAUCCCAACGGUAAGCCAAAGUUUCAGUUUUCUUAAUUGUUUCGUUACUCAAUAAUUUUUGUCUUUGCGUUUUUAUUUUAUCGUGUGUGUACGUAUGAAAUUAUAGUUUACCAAGUCUCGAAAUAAAACUUGAUUGAUGUGGACAGUUGAUUACAGUUUGUAACUUGUUAAUUUGCAUCAAAUUUUGGUAAACAGGUCCAUUAUUCUACAAGGGUUGGUACCAUUUUUUCUACCAGUACAAUCCCAAAGGUGCAGUUUGGGGAAACAUAGUAUGGGGUCAUGCAGUAUCCAGAGACUUGAUCCAUUGGCUUCACCUUCCUCUAGCAAUGGUAGCUGAUCAAUGGUAUGACAUCAAUGGAGUCUGGACUGGCUCUGCUACAAUUCUCCCCAAUGGCCAAAUUGUCAUGCUCUACACUGGUUCAACCAACGAGUCCGUCCAGGUCCAAUGUCUUGCAUACCCUGCUGACCACAAUGACCCUCUCCUCACCAAGUGGAUCAAGUACUCCGGCAACCCGGUUCUAUUCCCCCCUCCCGGGAUCGGAAUCAAGGACUUCCGGGACCCGACCACCGCUUGGUACACCAAAGAAGGCAAAUGGAGGAUCACAAUCGGGUCCAAGGUUAACAAAACUGGUAUAUCUUUAGUUUAUGACACCAAGGACUUUAUUAAGUAUGAGCAGCUUGAUGGUGUGCUUCAUGCUGUGCCUGGUACUGGAAUGUGGGAAUGCAUUGAUUUUUAUCCGGUGUCGAAAACUAGUGACAAGGGGCUGGACACUUCUGAGAAUGGUGCUGAUGUGAAGCAUGUGAUAAAGACUAGCCUUGAUGAUGAUAGGAAUGAUUACUAUGCAUUGGGGAGUUAUAACGAGCAGACUGGAAAAUGGGUUCCUGAUAAUCCAAACAUUGAUGUUGGGAUUGGGAUUAGGUAUGAUUAUGGGAAAUUCUAUGCUUCCAAGACCUUCUAUGAUCAGAACAAGCAGAGAAGGGUGUUGUGGGGAUGGAUUGGAGAGUCUGAUAGUGAAAAUGCUGAUGUCCAGAAGGGUUGGGCAUCUCUUCAGGUACGUACACUGGUUUCAUUUCAUUCCAUCUCUUCUAGUACCAUAAGGCGUUUAUAUAUGUUCCAAGACUCGGCUUAAUGCGACUUGAAAAUUCACAGACUUGCCACAUAGGCCUAAACUGUCUAGUAACAGAACAUUUCCCUUUAGUUUUACGUACUCUUUUGCUUUGGUGUUUCAUUCUCUUCGAUCUUAUCUCUGAUUGUACAAUGUUUCUGGAAUGAUUUUGAACAGGGAAUUCCAAGAACAGUGUUGUUUGAUCAAAAGACUGGUAGCAAUCUACUUCAAUGGCCAGUGGAGGAGAUUGAGAAAUUGAGAUUGAAUAUGAACAACUUCGACAGAGUACAAGUCAAGGCAGGGUCAGUGGUGCCACUUGACGUUGGCACAGCCACACAGGUCUGCAUUCUGUAUGCUGUUCUUAAGUUCAUAUCACCAUUUGUGGGAAACUAUUUCUUGGCUGAAAUUCUGAUUGGCAUGAAUGUUACAGUUGGACAUCGUCGCAGAGUUUGAGUUGGAUCAGACGGUUUUAGAGAGCACAGCUGAAUCUAACGAGGAAUUCAGUUGCCAAACUAGUGGUGGAGCUGGCAAACGCGGCGCAUUGGGACCCUUUGGUCUUCUUGUUCUUGCGGAUGACGGCCUCACUGAGCGCACUCCUGUCUACUUUUAUGUUGUCAAGGGAUCUGGUGGCACUGUCAAUACCUACUUCUGUGCUGAUCAAACAAGGUGCGUAUUAAGUUUUCCAUGGUACUUAAUAUCGUGCAUGUUAUGUUAUUAGAUUAUGAAUUUAUGAAUCACCGAAUCAAAACCUUCAAAACACGAUCGUCCCACCUAAUAAAUUGUUUAGAUUCAUAGUUUGACAAUAUAACGUAUGAGGAUGCAUGAUUUGAUAUUAGUUGGUUACUUGGUUGUACGUAAUGUUGAAUUGCACGCUGAACUAAAUAUGUUUUCUCUCUGUAUUAUAGGUCUACUGUGGCAAAUGAUGUUGUUAAACAAGUUAGUGGUAGCUAUGUUCCAGUGCUGAAAGGUGAAAAGCUGUCUGUGAGAAUACUGGUAAGUGGAUUGAACUAUGGAUAAUAGAAUCAUCAAAUUUAUGACCUUGGCUCACUUCCAUUCAAUCAUAUAUGUAUUCCAGGUUGAUCAUUCGAUCAUUGACAGCUUUGCUCAAGGUGGACGAACAACGAUAACAACGCGCGUUUACCCAACUCAAGCAAUUUAUGGAGCUGCAAGGCUUUUCUUGUUCAACAAUGCUACUGAGACCAGUGUUACUGCCUCACUCCAGGUAUGGCAGAUGAACUCUGCCUUCAUACGCCCAUUUUCACCUGAUGCAGCAAGCCAUGCAAGCUUCACCCCUGUCACAAUAUUCAUCAAUUUCAUCGUCCCAUUCGGACUAUUUUUAACUUUAUAUUUUGUAAGAUAAGAAAGAUAAUUGAUUUGGUCCGCGGAUGGUAGUAUGGAAACAUUAAUUCUUUUUGUCGAAGAGUUCAGUACCAGUUUCUGCAAUUUGAUUCUUAAUUUGAUCCCAAUAGAGUUCAAAAGCGUACUGAUCCUUCUCUACAAGUGUUUAAGCUAUUUCUAGUUACAUAUACUUAGCCAAAAAGAAAGAAGCAUGCAGAGACGAUGAAAGUUAAUGACUGGUUAAGCAAUACAUCAUUAUAAGCUAGACCAGUGUUACUAUAUAUAAUAUUCCAUCUGAACUAUAGUGAUCGUUCACAGUCGGCUCAUUAAGAUUUCAUAUAUUCGGAUCCUGUUAAAUUGUGAGCAGGAUUUUUACUAGCUAUAGAACGAUUCAUGCAUGAGAAUGCCGUCUUGUGGCUAUAGAUCGAUGGAACCCCUUCUAGCGAGGACCUUUAAGUUAAGGACUUGGUGAGGACUUUUCGGCUUAUCCCACCUUUCGAUCUUAUAUCCACAUCUUGACCGUUCAGUUUAUAGGUAUUUAUGAGUGGAUCAUUUCUUCAAAUUUUCAGCUAUAUUGAAAAUUAUUAAGACAUUCAUAAGUGUGAUUUAUCAAUUAUGAACUUGAACGGUUCAUAUUUGACAGAUUUGGUUCGUCCAUUAAUUUGAUAUAGUUUGUUAUCUUAACGAACACUAAUUUGGGGGAAAAUUUGUAGAAAUGAUCUACUCAUAUAAACCUAAAAACUGAACGGAUGAGAUGUCAAAAUGUAAUCGAAAAUUGGGUCUUUUAAACCAUAAACUGAAAAGUCCUCACCAAGUUCUCAACUUAAGGGUCCUCACUAAAAGGGCUCCCAUAAAUCGAUUAUUCUUUCUAAAAAGUUCUCACUUGAUUGAGUGAUUUCACCUUUCCCCCCAAUAGGGGUACUGUACCCCAAAAAAUAGUCAUAUUAUUGAUAGGGCCAGUUCAGAUCAAAUGUCACAGCUGGACUUCACAUUUUGCCCAUUAUGCAUGUCAUAAUAAUUCAUACCCACCCAAACAACUUUGUCUGUUCAAUUAGUAAUAAGCUACUCUCGCCAAAAAAAAAAAAAAAAUUAAGUAAUAAGCUACACUAUGCAUGCCGACUCCAAUGCAUCAUUCUGGUUGGGGCAAUGUCCCUUGAUCAAUCGUAUCAUCGUUCCAAUUAAGUAACCAGUACUGGAGCUUUUAUAUUGUUAUGUUUUUGGUACAUAUAUAAUUGUGCGUUGAUUUGUUAAGACUAAUUAAGCUUGCAUGCAUGAUCGAUGGACGACUAUAUAGAUUUGAUCGAAUCAUGUACGUCGACAAAGACAACCCCCCCAGCAAAACGUAUUGAAAUGAUGACAUUCCUUGCGCAAGUUGAAGUUGUAUUGAAUACCUCCGGCCAUGGCCAACACAAUCAAGCUAUAGCUAGCUAGCUUGAAAGCUUUCUUGCUUGUCUAAUAGUACUCUUUGGAGAAGGAAGGAACUGCGUGCCGGUAAAAUUGGUUGUUCUUGGUCCCCUCCUCUCUGGAAUCGUUUGGCCUCGCGAUCAAUCUGUUUAUGCUUUCUCUCGUUCUCCAUCCAGCUUAGCUAUACGCCUAUAUCUGAGCUAGCUUAAAGAUUCUCAAUGUUAGGGUUGGCAAAAGUACUCAUGAUAUCGGUACCAUUAUAUAUGAUAUAUCGGUUUCCAACCAAGGAGGGAGAGAGAUUGAGGAUUUUGACUAGCUAAUAGCUAUUAGAGUAUUUUUACCAACACUAAUCUCAUGGACUACAUAGUUUUUCUCUAGCUCGUUCUUGCAUGUAUAUACCGAAACACAGAAUUGGUUUAGUAGCUGGCGAUAAGAAUUCUUAGUUACUUACAGAUAUCAAGCAUCUGUAUUGGGCAACUCCUUAACUAAAGUUGAGCCAACCUUUUAGCUAGCUAAUCAAACCCACCCAAUACCAAAUGCAUGAAUAAACGACAUGGUGGGGAAACCAUGCACAUGUUAGCAUGUAUGCUUGAGCAUGCAACAACAACUAUUUCACCAUGAUAAAAGGCAUAUAUAGUGCUUUUCAAAAAGAAGAAGAAGAAGCAUAUAGUGGUAUUAAGGAAUUCAUAAACCAUAAGCAUUAGUGAAUUUUGUAGAUUCCAAUCCAAGGCAAGAAAACCUAAAAACAGAAAAAAGAGGGGAAAUUAUGAAGUGGAUCCAUGAUAAAAGGUGCUUCACGGGCCAGGGCCUUUAGCAGUGCCCGGCCUAAUAAGACCCCCCAGCCACAAGGCGUACCACCCUAGCUACCACCCUUUUUUUUUUUUUAAGCAUAUUAUGUCAUCAUGUCUCCUCCGGUAGUCCGGUGGGGUGGCCCUGCUAGUGUUUAUCCACUCCGCCUCGAUCUCACUAAACAAGUAAACAGUCAAAAUCCAGUCACUCCCUGUGUAUGGCAUCUCGAGGUAAAACCAGUGGACGUAUUUUAGAUUUUGUUAUAUUCAUUAAAUUAGACUUGGUCCCCUAUAUAUACAUUAGUUUGUUUGUUAAUUAGUUGCGUAAAGAAUGAUCAUAAUCUACCUGUUAAUCUCACUCACUCAUGAGAGCAAAAUGUUAUUUUAACUGUUGUACACAUGUAAUCAUAACUCACAAGUUCAUAACCAAAGGAUACUCUUUGAAGAGUUGAAGGGCAAACCCAGAAAUGAAGAAUCAAAUGUUACCUAGCCUGCGCUCUAAUCCAACCAUCGCCAAUAUAUAUAUAUAUAUAUAUAUGCCUUUGGGGUCCCCUAUUAUGGGCAGUGCCUCACGGCUGGCAAUCAUGUGGCGCUUUCAUAGAGAUCUGAACGUUGCAACACCCUGUUAUUAUUUAUUGUUCUUUUUCCUAUAUUUAUCUCUUUCAAUUCGGCUAUUCCUUUCAUCUCUUCCGAAUCCAGACGACAACAGUAGUCGUAGUAGUAGUCAAAUAAAACCAAACCCCCCUCGCGUGGGACUAAUGUUUCUUUUUGGCUCCAAUGGCUCUCAUGAACUGGCUAUUGGCUGUCACUCCCCUCUUUCUGUCUCUGAAAAUGUUUUUUUUAUCUCUCACUGUGUUCAUGAAUGGUGACCGGUCACCGACAAAAGCUUAGCUAGUUUUGCUUGGAUCAGACCUCAAACCCAACCAACCAUUGUUUCCUAUUCUUUUUUUCCAUAAUUAGGCCAAGAAAAAUACCACUCUAUACUCUAUACAAUAGAAGAAAGUGUCAAAGAAAAAGAGCCGUUUUUCUGUCUCUCACACACUCUCUCUACUUCCAGAGCUUCUGGUUCUGUUCUCUUCUUUUUCCUCUCUUUCCUUCUUUGAUUCUUUCUGAUAAUGUAAACAAAAGAAGGGAAAAGAAAUUGGCUUUAGAGUUUUGUGAUACACAUUGUAAAAGUCUUUGGGGGAGUGAGAGAGAGAGAGAGAUGGCUUUCAAGAGCUUUUUCACUCUGUUUCUCAUCCACAUUUGCUUCUUUGCGAGCUUGAGUUACGCUGAAGAUCCGACCUUUUACCACGAUUUUGUGGUCUCUUACAUCACUGCUUCUCCUCUUGGUGUUCCUCAACAGGUUUGCUUUCUCUCUCUACCUUGUUUCUUCUGGGUUCUAGCUGCUUUCUAGCUUGUUUCUUCACUUUUUCCAGCUACUGAUGACUAAAUGACAGAUGGGUUAGCUUUAGAUUUCAUAAAAUUUGAAUCUUUAGCUCCAGAUCUGCUGAAUGUACUUGUAUUUUGAAACUCUGAGCUUAGAGUGCUAGUUCUAAGCUUAUAGUGAUGUCAAGUAGGGAGCUUUUGAGGCGGCUUCUAGUGAUUGAUUCUAAAUCUGCAUUACUUUGCAGGUUAUUGCCAUUAAUGGAAAGUUUCCUGGUCCUGGUAUAAACGUGACUACUAACAACAAUGUCGUUGUCAAUGUUCGGAACAAAUUGGACGAGAAUCUACUGUUUACUUGGUAAGAUUUACUGUAAAGUGCUCAUGGUUUUCAAUCAGACACAUUGUUGUUAUAUAUGGAUUGGGUUUCUGAAACUGGAUUUUGUGUUAUAGGGCCGGAAUUCAGCAGCGGCGUAGUUCAUGGCAGGAUGGAGUUCUUGGAACCAAUUGUCCAAUUCCCCCAAAGUGGAAUUGGACUUAUAAUUUUCAGGUUAAGGAUCAAAUUGGGAGCUUCUUUUACUUCCCAUCUCUUAAUCUCCAGAGAGCAUCUGGAGGGUAUGGUGGGUUUAUUAUAAAUAACCGGGCCGUAAUUCCCAUUCCGUUCGCAACCCCGGAUGGGGAUAUAACCAUUUUGAUUGGUGAUUGGUACACAAAAAACCAUACGGUGAGUACUCGGUGAAAUUCUCAACUGCUUGUUAAGUACAUAUUUGAGAUUUGGUAGAGUAACACACUUGAUGAUGAUGGUUCCUUCUUUAAAUGUAGGCUUUGAGGAAGACCCUUGAUGCAGGGAAAGACCUUGGAAUACCGGAUGGUGUUCUCAUCAAUGGGAAAGGCCCUUACCAAUACAACACUACACUUGUCCCGGAUGGCAUUGAUUACGAAACAAUUGAUGUACACCCAGGUGAGUAUUAGCCAAUUAUUUAUAUAUCUGUAAAUUAAGCAAUGCAGUAAUUUUGGGAAUGCUUAAUUUGGAUUUGUUCUGCGCAUGGCAUUGAUCAUAUUCGUCUUGAGAGCCAGAUGCGUAUGGUUUCCUAUCAUGCUAGCAUUUUGAGUUUAUUUGAGCGUAGAGAUUCAGCUCACAAGCAACACUUCAAACCAUUUCUGGAUAAGUAAUUAAUUUAAGCGAGUCAGAGUAAUGUUCCAUACAACUGACAUGACUUAUCUGUCCAUCAGCUUUGCUUUAUCGGUUGAUUGGCAUUAGCAUGUGAGAUCAAUGACCCUGGUUUCAGAAGGGAAAGCUUAAGUCCCGGCUUAUUACUCAUAUUUAGGUGUUUUGGUGGAAGACGACUUAUGACUUUAAAUCUAUGAUCUUUGCAGCUGUUAUUUGUAUUAUAGCACUAAUUGUAGCAAAAUGAUUCUUGAAAGUCAUAUCUGUGCAUAAAGAGUUGCCAAGUCAUUUCACAUGUCAAUAUUUAUUGUAUACAAGGAAAUUUCUGUGGUUAGUUCCCCAAACUUCAAAUUACAACGAUGUGAUUUUGAUCAGGGAAAACUUACCGUCUUCGCGUACACAACGUUGGAGUGUCGACUACUCUAAAUUUCAGGAUUCAGAACCACAAUUUGCUUCUAGCAGAGUCGGAGGGAUCAUAUACAGUGCAACAGAACUAUACGAGCUUAGAUAUACAUGUCGGACAAUCUUAUUCAUUUCUGUUAACAACGGAUCAGAAUGCUAGUAGUGAUUAUUAUAUUGUAGCAAGUGCUAGAUUUGUGAACGAGUCACAUUGGAAAAAAGUUACUGGAGUUGGAAUCCUGCGUUAUUCUAACUCCAAAGGAAAGGCAGCUGGUCCCCUACCACCACCACCAAGUGACGAAUUUGACAAAACCUUCUCGAUGAACCAGGCCAGAUCCAUCAGGUGUGUUCUUUGUUAAUCUUUUAGAUUCUCUUUACUAUCUUUUAUAUAUUGUAUUUAGAUUAUUCAGCAACAAUUUCCUGACUUUGUCAUCCAUAUAAACCUAUUCUGAAAAUUUGCCAACUUUUGUAGAUGGAAUGUAUCAGCCAGUGGUGCACGUCCUAAUCCACAGGGGUCUUUUAGAUACGGCUCCAUCAAUGUAACUGAUGUUUAUGUGUUGAAAAACAAGCCACCAGUAAUGAUCAAUGGGAAACGCCGAACAACUCUAAGUGGAAACUCAUUUGUAAAUCCUGCCACACCUAUCCGGCUAGCUGACCAGUACAAAUUGAAGGGUGUUUAUAAGCUUGACUUCCCAAAAAGGCCGCUUACUGGAGCACCCAGGAUGGAAACAUCUGUGAUUAAUGGAACAUUUAGAGGAUUUAUUGAAAUCAUACUUCAGAACAAUGACACCAAGAUGCAGAGUUACCAUGUGGAUGGAUAUGCAUUUUUUGUUGUCGGGUAGGAGUUCCUUGAAGUUUAUUGUAUAAAACAUGCGUAUGGUAGUGUUUUAUAUACCUCUCAGUGCCUUUAACAUGCAAUGAUUAAUUGCAGGAUGGAUUAUGGUGAGUGGACAGAGAAUAGCAGGGGGACAUAUAAUAAGUGGGAUGGAAUAGCCCGUUCUACAAUACAGGUAUGGUUGUUACAUAACCAACUGGUUUAUUCAUAGUUAGUUCCUCCCUUAAACCUCACCUAGUUUUUAGGUAAGCAUUUACUUCCUAAUUGUGAUACUUGUUUCAUAGUUAGUUCCUCCCUUAAACCUCACCUAGUUUUUAGGUAAGCAUUUACUUCCUAAUUGUGAUACUUGUCAGUUGGGACAUUUUUUUCCCUUCACUCAGAUCAGCUAUCAAAGAAGUAUGUUCUUUGCAAACCCUCAAAUGAAGACACAGAACAGUUCUAUUUUCCUCAUUAUAUGGCCUAGCACUAUAUUGCUGAGCACUUGGUCAUUACAGAGACUUUAAAUAUGAACUAGUAUAGGUGUAUAGUAGUAGCAAAGCUAUGCAAACUUUGCGACAUUUAUUUCAUAUUCACUGCUAAUACUGUAAAUAUUGGUAUUACUGUAUCAGAAUGAGUUCUCUCACUCCUAUUUGUGUAUGUGUUUAGGUUUAUCCUGGGGCGUGGUCAGCAAUUUUGAUUUCUCUGGACAAUGUUGGAAUCUGGAACAUUAGAGCUGAAAAUCUUGACUCAUGGUAUCUCGGCCAAGAAACUUAUAUCAAGGUUGUGAAUCCAGAACCGACUAACAAAACUGAGCUUCCCAUACCAGACAAUGCCCUAUUUUGUGGUGCUCUAAGCAAAUUGCAAAAGUAUGUCCCCACCCAUAAUAGUACUAAACCUUCUCAAGUCGUUAAUGUGUGACAGCAACUAAUAACUACUUAUGAUUCCUCUUUUCAGGCCUGAAGAUAUCUCUUCGGCAGCAUCACUCACUAUUGUUCAAUCAAAGGUGUUCACUCUGCUGAUGAUCAUAUGCACUUUAAUUCCCAUUUUCCACUAAAGGGUUCGGCUUUUCUGAGGGGGACUGUAUGUUUGUUGGAGCCUAGGUUCUUAGUGAGAGGUUUGUGGUUGGGUGUUUAGGUUUUGAUAUUAGGCUUGUUGAUAUCUUCAGUGAGUUUGACAUUCUUUUCUUCUUUGUACGUUCCAUGAUUCCUUUAAUUGAUCGGGAUUUAUGGCUCCAUGGCUCCUUUAAUUGAUCGGGAUUUAUGAUUCUUUUAUUAUCAAGAACCCAUGUACUGUUUGACAAUCAAUCAAUUCAUCAAUUCAAUUCAAUGCCACUUCCUACCCUUUGAUCCAAUUUCUGUAAAAUGAAUUUCUGAGACAGAAGACGAAGUUUUUGGCUUUGCUGUCACGGGGUCUGAUAUUUUGUCAAGGUUUUUAUGUUUUGUGGUCCUGGAGAUUUUGGUCGAAAAAAUGCAUCUUUCAAUGAAGGAUACAGGCAAAAAGAUAACAAGGAGGCUGAAUGUUAUUUAUUGUCUCCAGUAAGGUACAUACAGAGACCUGUAUAUAUGAACAAAAUUGCCAUUCAAUGCAGCGAAGUGCCGGUUUCAACUACAAGACCCAAAAGGUGGUAUAACCAGAGUCCAAGCAUUUGGUUGGUUUUUUUUUUUUUUGGUAACAUUCAACCAAGCACCGUUGCAAUGAGUCCUCAAAUUUUCACAACUAUCCAAGAUAGAAUUCAGAUGACAUCUUAAAGGCUGCAAGGUCCUGAAUGAGUUGUAUAGACUCCGGUGGUGCUUCAGCUUCUUUCAAAUCAGAGUUGCAACCCCAAACACGAAUUGCAAGUCUCCGACACUUGGGAGAUGAUGGUUGCAAGUAGGUUUUGUAGAAGUUAAUAAUGUCCUCCUUCUGAAGGCUUCUGACCUCUUCAGCUACCCUUUUUGGCCAGUCAUAUGUAUACCUGUAGAUCAAACAUUUAUCAGACAGUGUUGAAGCACAAGCAUUACAGAUCUCAAGGCAUGACAUUCUUAGAUCAACCUGACUAGUAGAGAUCAUGUAUACAGAGUACCUUUUAUUGGUAAUUUCCUCCCAAAGCCUAGACGUUUCAUGUCCGAGUGUUUCAUCUCUUUCCAAUAGAUUUGCUAUUAGUCCAUCUUUAUAAUUCUCAAAGGAAUCAUCAUCCAGUCCGUGCUGCAAAUGGCAACAACAAUGCAGAAUCAAUAAUAAUGAAAUAUUGUAUUAUUGUUUGAGAAUGCACAAUUUAGAAAACUAAACAUGAUGAAAUCAGAUUCAUACCCACACACUAGAGAUCCCUUGUAUAUGUUUCAUUAUGGAACCUCUAGUUGUGUGGAUAUUACAUUGGUGUAAAAUGGUUAAUGUAUACAUAGUACAGAACAGUUAAUAAUCUUACUCACGAAUUGGGGAAAACCUUAAACUAGUAUUAUCGUAGCAGCAUCCGGAAGGAACCUAGAUUGCUUUUUUUUUUUCUUCGGACAAUAAGGAGCCUUGAAUGCUUACCAACAAUAGAUCCACACCAUUUAUAAAGUUGUCAACUCUCCCUUGCAAGUAGAUUGGGUUGUGCUCAGACGACUCAACACAGAAAACAAAGCCAUAUACACGACAUAUUUCUCGCAGGCCACACCAAACAACAUAACCAAGCUGCUCCUUCGUCCUAUUUCAAGAAACACAAUGGCAGUUCUAAAAAUAUAAGUCUAAAAUAAUCAUCUGGCCCCAAAUAAAAUUAUAUUAUCAGAACAGAUUCUUUAGCUAGUCAGAAUGCAAGCAAUACUUUCAGCCUCAAACAAAUACCUUAGCUGAUCGUAAAGUGGUUCGUCUACAAUUUUCAUAAAAAGUUUUGCCAAUGCUCUCAAUCUGGUGGACUCGAUCUCAAUUUGAAAAUAUAACUGCAAUGUGAAAACAAAACAAAUGGGAGACCAACAAGAGGUACAUUUAUGAUUUUAUGGAUAGAAAACCAAGAAAAUAUAUCCACUUUAAUUACCUCAAUGACAGAGUUUGUUUCAGAAUUAUUCUUCACACAGGCUUCUCUAACGAGGUUAGCAGAAGGAGGAAGGCACAUACAAUGAUCCUUAUGCCUCAAUUCGAUAGGAAGUGGUUCCACAGUAAAAUUGGUUUUAAAUAUAUUGGAAAGGUGAAGUGCCUCUUCUUCUACCAGAUUUCCAUGACAAAAGCCUUCAAUGUAAAGCUGUGCAUAUAGAGGAGAGAGGAAGUUGAAAUCAUUCUAAUUAUUUACAGAAAUUCUCCAAAUAAUAUAACAAUUAUUAAAUUCACAUUUGAUAGCUAGUCUCCAAUUCUUUCACUAGGCAUGAAAGUGGAAGAAAUGGGAGUCAAUAAGUCAGAAUCAGACAAACUGGUCAUAUGUGUAUAGUAUAUACCUGGGAACAAAGCUCGGGAAUAAACAACUUCAUAUCAGAAACAGACAAACUGUUCAAAACUUGCAACUCUUCAUCUACAUCAUAAUAUUUAUGGUACAAAACUUGACGUCUCAAAUAUGAAGAGUGACUCUGAGGAUCCAUAUUAGUGUUCUUUAACAUUCUCUCCAUUCUUUCUCUGAUAACCUGUUAUGUGUUACUUUGUCAUAAGUCAUAACCCAGCCAUAACCUAACAAGGUAUUCUCAUUUGUAUACAUAAUCAAACUUGAACCAGACAUAGAGUGGACUGCAGACAUAAUGUAUUCCGGCAUACCUCGAAACGAUCAUAUGUUGGCAAGAAGUUUCUGGUCACUGUCAGAAUUUUUGACAAUAAAGCUGGAAGCUUAUCGUUGAAACCGUAAACCUUCAACUCCAUAAAGUCGUUAGAUCCAUUUACAUGAGUUCCCAGCCCGGCAACAUUGGCCUACACGCAGAGAAUAAAGGAUCCAUCAUUGUAUAGAUCCUAAAUCAUUUUUGUUCUAGAACAUAGUUGCUGAGAACAGAAUGACUAAUAUUGACCAAUAAAUUAUUAAAUUUUGGGGCACAAUAUAAGUAUAAAGCCACUAUAAUUAUAAGUUAUAUCUUACAACUGAAAUCCUAAACAGUAAAAUGAUCAAAAUGAAGAAGUGUGUUAAGAAAUUUAAAAAUGUAAAGAAUGGAGAUAGAUAGAAGAGAGACGACCCAGUUCUUCAAAAAUUUAGAAAAGCAAACACAUUCAUAGUUCCAGAUUAACAUGAUAAUUCUCUGGAAGUUAUAUACAGUGGUUUUCUAGCUUCUACUAUUAGCCACAAUAGCAUCCAAUUUUUAUAAUGAACCGAAAUGGAUGCACACUACAGAGAUAUUCAAAUUGAUUUAAAUUCAAGUGGUGUUCCUAGAAAGAAAGAAAAAGUUUUUUUUAAACAAGACCUUAAUCUGAUGGAUGAAAUAUUCACCUGAUAUACUAUUUCAUUCAGCUCAUCCUCAAGAAGCUCAAUAUACAGUUCAGUCAAAACAUAACUCUUCACAUUAUCAUAUCCACCCUUCAGAUUUAUGCGGAAGUAUGCAUUUACCCGUGGUUGUUUAAAAGUACUGUCAAGCUUGUACCAGAUCUUCACCAAUGGUUCAUCAAGUAUACAUCUUGGAGAAGAUAUAUUUGCACUAUCAGGACAACAGACAUCUGAACGGAUGGAGAAAUCACCAGGAAUGAACAUAUUCUUUAGAGGGAGAUGCAAUGAAUUAUCAACUUCUGGAGGAUCCUUCCACAAAUUCAUCAAAGAUGGAGAUAUAUCUUCUUCAGUAUAAUGUGAACCAAACCAAGGCUCGCACUGGAAAUCUGAAACAGUUGAAGGGAUUGUUAGUGCUUGAGCACACUUAUUUACUCCUGCAAAAUCCAAAUAAUAUAUGAAAGUAUGUACUGUGUAGCAUAUAAAAUGAGGCAUAGAAAUCAUUCUCAUUUUGUCAGUUAGAAAUAGGAAAAAUAUAAGGAUAGCACGAAGAAUAUAACAUGAGCCACUUCUGAAAACUAGUUAAAAUAAAAUACGAUUGCUAGCAGCCAAACAAAACAAUGAAAAUAAGAGGGACAAGAAGCACCUUUUUAAUUUUAUUUUUUUUGGCAUAAUAGCGAACUUACUUUCCAACUUGAAUGAGGACUUUGAUAUCACAUCAAUCCUCAUGUUUUCUGGUCUGAAGAAGCCAAGAACAUAUUCUAUCAAUUCCUUAUCCCAAGUCUCGUACACAUAGUCCCCAUAAAUAACAUGUUCUGCUGAAUAGCGUAAUAAAUUUCCUGCAAUACAGAAAUUAUGAGAUUUAGUAUGAAAUAAAUGUACAUAACUUGAUACAUCUUAUGAUCUGUGAUACUUGCAGACAAGUAAGAAAGACAUGGACUUUCAAUAACAAAAAAAAACCUCCAAGUUUUACAGCAUAAUCAUCCUGGGGCUGAUCCUGCAUAAAUCUAAAACUCAUGUUCCCAAUAUCCUGGAGUUCCCGGAAUAUCCAUUCUUGAGGUGAUACUUGACGCAAUAAUUUAAUGUAUUGAUACACCGAGCCAACUAUCUCAAAAAUCUGCAAGUAACCAUAUAACAUAUGAGAAGUGAUAUACAUAGAGUUAAUUUCGCUUCACUACAUAUGUUCAGCAGUAACUGAAGCUUUCCAAAAGCAAUGAAUUAUAAAGUGGAAUUACGGUAUGCCUCUAGUAAUUCUUACGUUCUCCAAAGUAUUCUAGGGAAGAUAAUCUAAACUUAGGUUUUGUUCCAUGAUGAAAGAGAAACUCACAAAUAAGAAAUGGGAUAAUCAAAGUCAAUCUCAUGCCAAAAGAUGGAUAGAUAGAGAUAAUACCUGCUCCAAUCCAGAGUCAGUAAGGUAUAUGAUCAUGCAAAAGACAUCAGCCACAGAAUAGCGGUUCACCGAAGCAUUGAGAUAUGUUGCCCAUCCUUUAGCUUUGAGAUAAAAAUACAGACUUCCCCUGCCCUCUGGGAAAGAAAAAAACCCAGUGAUCAGAAUAAACUCAAUUAAAACUCGAUUUAGUAAUGUGUAGCCAGCCAAAAAAUAUUAGAGGGAAACGCAUUGUAAAAAUCCAUAUACAAGACAUGCAAAAAAAUAAUAAUUCCAAACAUAGGAAAAGCAUGAAUGGAGACCACUCUAAGGAAAUAACAUUUAGACAAAUAGUGCAGCAUUCAAGCUCUCUUGUGUGCAAUAUGAACAGUUUGUUCUCUGCAGAGGAAAUCAUCAACAUAAACAAUUUAAUAAUGAAUCAUCUUACCAUGCUCAAGAAGAUGGCUUAAAAAAUAAUCUGGGCAUUUCAAAUAAUGUUGAUGAAGACUUGGAAGUGCCCAUGCUAAGUGGAGUAUAUGAACAUCAUUAACGGCCUCUAGCCUGUAAAGUUUUCCAACAUUCCAAAUAGGACCUUCAGCUUUGAACUCCAGGUUAACUUGGGGACCUUUUUUGACAUCUCCAAACAAUUCCAAAACCCACUGCUCAAGUAUAUCAAGAGAUUCUGCAACACUAAAACCAUUUCAAUAAAUAUAGAUUACAUCUAUCAGCAGUUUUGAAAAGAAGAAGAUAUGUGUUAAGGGAAAUAUGUUUAUAGUAUUACAGCGACAAGUUAUCAACAAUGCCACUGAAACACACUGUAACAGUCAAUCUCCAAUAUCAUCAAAAAUUCAUCUUUAUUGUUCAUGACUUUGAUUUUCACGAAUAGGUUUUACCAAAAAAAAAACUGCUCACAGAACAAUCACAACACAACACUUCUACUGACAAAAACUCAAUGUGUAAUUUUUUACAGCAACAUAAACCUCUACCAAUUUACAUAACCAAAUAUUCAUGAGGAAAACAGAAAUCGCGAGUAGAUAAGUAUAUCAUACUAUGCUGUAAAGACAAAUUGAAAUUUGCAUGUCUAAUAGCACACCCUUUUGGUCCACGAUACAACAACUUGCUAAUCUUAUUGUCAUGGACACCAUCUCUGUAAAUUAUCCUCCAAAAGAUAUUGGUAAAACUUAACAGAAUUCAAAAAAAAAAAAAAAAAAAAGGAAAUUAAAACUUUCACCUCCACCAAUGACAACUAGCUUCAUUAAUCCGCCAUGGUAAUAGUCUGUGUACAUUUGCAUUAUUUGUUGACGUAAGUUUAUCCCUUUUUCCCUUGCAUCAUCCAAGCUUCUCUUAUUUCCUUUCAUGCCAGAUAUAAAAUAAAAAUUUAGUUGCAUAAAAAACACAGUAUCGCUAAACAAAUACAAAGUAAAAGGAAAAAGGAAACACCAUGGAUUCAAGUUUUACCCCGACUGAAAUUAUUAAAUGGGUGACCAGGUGUGGCUGUAUGACCUUGAAGUUGUUCAAGGCGGCAAAAAUCGUUUUGCAGAACCCGGUUGAACUCUGCAUUGCAUUUUGAAUACAAUUCAGUGACAAGGAAUUUUUAUGCUGCAGUCCUGUAAGCAAAAUCUGGCACAGUUUUUGAAGGAAUAACUUUAGAAAGACUGGCAUGCACCUGAAUCUAUAGACUGUAACUCUCGCUCCAUGGCUUCACUUUUCAUUAGAGGUGACACAAAGAACUGAGAAAAUCUAAUAAAUCAAAGAGCCCAAAUAAAUAUAAUUCAUUGAGUGAGACAAAGACAAGUAUCAAGUCAAAAUAGGAAGCAUCACAGAAAACUAAAAACUCAGUUCACAGACCAAGUAUAUCUCCAAUAUUAAAGACUUCAUUUGUCAACAUUCGAUCAGCAGAUGAAAAGCUUAGUAUUAACCUUGUCAAAGCACCCUUAAGAAACUCUGGUUUCACUUCAAAGUGGUACGAUGUAUUCUCUUCACGCGUGCAUGCAUUUGAUGACCCUCCGUGCUUGGACAAGUAACUGUCAUACUAGCAAAGGGCAGAAUCAAAACAAAUGAUGGCAUAGCGUAGAGUACACUGUUGUCUUCCAAAUAACUUGAGUUCGAGCUUGUAAAAGCAUUUGACAGAAUAAUAAUCAACCAGUAAAGAACUGAGGCCAACACAAGAAUUUCCACAUGGUCAAAGAAAACUACUCUUAUAUCUUGUGAGGGGACACAAAAAUUGAACAAGCUGCUAUUUGUUUCUUUGUCAUGAUAAACCAUUCAGUCUCCUAAAAAUUUAAGAAAUGCAGCCUGACACAUUACUGAGCAGGUUGGCAGCAAAGACACAAGCAAGUCCAACCCACAUAUAUGGGUUAAAAAGCAACCUUAAGAUGCUGUCAGAGUAAUAAUUCUUGAUACUUAAGCUGCUUCACAGUGGCAUGAAUUUUAUUAUUGUAUGUAACCUCAUCUUUAUGAACAAGGCAGACGAACAAGUGCAUUCCCAACUAAAACAAGUAAUUCAAAAGAGAAUUCAGAUGCAAGCAUACCUCGUUUUCAUCUGGGAACUUGGUACUCCCCAUGAAAAGCAUGUGUUCUGCAAAACAUUCAAUACGUAAGUAAUUCGGUCAUCCUUGGUUAAAAGGGUGUACGCUGAGUUGUGACACGAACCUAGAAAGUGUGCAAGCCCCUGUGCCUCAGGAGGAUCAGAGAAGCUGCCCAUUCCAACAAACAUUGCUGCUGCUGCCUGCAAACACCAUCAAACAUCAAAUUAAACAAAAUGCAUUCAUCCGACACUUGAGUCAACAUUGUGGGCUACAAGAAAUCCAACCUUCUUGGUCUGAAAAGCACCUCCCUUUAGCGUGUGCCCGGGUUGUGGGUAAAUAUCAGGGUCGUGAAGGAGCAAAGCAGUGAGGCCAUUCUCAAGCGUAAUCAAUCUGUACAGUUUCUUGUCAUUAGGAGACUUUAUCACAAUGUCGUCCGACGAGAAACUGCAGCGACCCAUCGAAAAGGGAAUGCUGUAAUCAAAUUUUCCUCGCUCUUUGAACAACAGAAUGUAAAAGUCUGAGUCUUCAUCUGCCGCGUUGAGAUUAUUUGACUCCUCUUCUCAAUUUUCCACAAAUGAGACCCUGGUGCCUGUCUUGCACAAUACCAAACUUGAUUUGGGCCUACGAAGUUUGGAGUCCUCUGUAUAUCAAAGAGUGUUCAGGCCCAACAAGAAAACUUGGUUUUGAACUAGGAGAAUGGAGUGAGGUUUGAACCAGGAGAAUGGAGUGAGGUUUGAACCAGGAGAAUGGAGUGAGGUAUGACAUAUGUAGUCAUAAUCCGUAAUGGUGUCGAGUUGGUAAGAGUUUAAUUGUGGUAACAGUGAACUUUGCUAUGCAAUUAAUCAUAUAAUAACAGGUAUGACAUAUAUUAUAGUUGUAUCAACUUUCAAACACUAUACAUCAGCUGCUUUCUAUUAUGUGGAUGGGAACCGAUAUAUGAGGCAACAGCAUAAACUCUUUCCAGCUCCUUUUCUUUUCUAGAGAAAAUCUUACGUGCGACAGCCGCACCACGUGAUUGACAUGUGUGACCUACCAGUCGCACAGCGACACGUGUUUUUGUUUUUUUAUGGCAGCUCUUCUUCUUCCUUCCUCUCUCUUCUCCGGCGAAACCGAUCCCUUCAGCUCCCUCUGCCCAUCCGUCGCCUAACCACCCCCCCCGGCGCCUCUACCAUAAGCCUGACAACCUGCCGCCGUCGAGCCGCACCUCCACCAACCUGUGCAAAUCACGCAGAGAGAGGAAGGAAGAAGAAGAGGGAGGAAGGAAGGAAGAAGAAGAGGACGAAAGAAGAAGAGUUGUGAAAAAGCUUCGCCGGAGGGGAUCUGUUUCGCCGGAGAAAGGAGGAAGAAGAAGAAGAAGGCAGGUGUAGGAAAAAAAAAAAACACGUGUCAAAGGAUGAUUGGGUGCACAUGUGCCAGGUGAUGCGGCUGUUGCACCUAAGAAUUUCUCUCUUUUCUAUUCUUUUUCUAUUCUUUUAACAGUUUCUUAAUUUCUUUGAGCAGUCUUCAGUGUUAUAUCUUGGCACUGAUAAAAUAGUUUGGGUUCAUAUUUAAAACCAAUUGACAAUGAAUAAAGUAGAAAGAGCACGAAAUUAAGACUGUAAUCCUGUAUUUGGACUGAUAUCUCAACAGACAAUAAAGAUAUACUUGGUAAUUAUGGACGCUUCUUUUAAUAUGCUAAAUGCAAACAUACAUGUAUGCUUUCUUGAAAGCUAAAAGCUGAUCGGGGAGUGCUGCUGCUGCAUGGGGUGUACGUAUGUUUGGUGUCGAAGAUUGCAUUUUGCGGGGGAGAUGGAGCUUUUUGAGGUAAGAUGGAGGAACAGAUUGAGAUGGAUCGAGAGCCCCAACUUUUUCAUUUGAACAGAGACUUGUAGGGUUUUUCUCUUCCACGUCUUCAUGUGUUUUCAGCCUCUUUAAUUUGAUGUUACUAAUUGGGAGGGACAUUAUAUCGAUCAAAUCUCACCUUUUCGUAAUGGUCGCAUCGUAUCCUAUGCGCAUAUACCAAGUACUCGAUUACUUCACUUUGCUAGUGAUCACGCUUAUACCUGUUAUAUAUAAAGCUUCCUUCUUAUGUUGACUCGCUACUACAAUCGUGGACCAAACUAAAGCGCGCACUUGGAUCUAUAUUUCUACUGCCUCUACUAUGUCUGCCAAGAGUUGAAUUGGUCGCCAUAAACUUUACCUCAAGCUAGAAAUUGAUCAAGAAGAUGAAAGAAGAAAAAUAAUUCAAGUGAGAAUUACUACGGGGGCAGCAAGUGAUAGAUGUGAUCAAUGCCGUACUAGUAGCUAGGUUUGCAUACCCCUUUGUUUUUGUUCGCCGGCCUCUGUCUUUCUUAAUGUGAAGGCCGACGUCAAAUUGUCUUGUACGUACUUGUUUGCACGUACACCCCUUUGCAGCUAGCCGUUGUAAACUGUAAAUUGAAAUUGAGAUUGAAAUUAGCAGUACUUUUGGGAGGGAAGGGACCUGUCAGUUUAGGGUGCUUAUUUGUAUCUGCUGGGACAUACAUACAUGUCCUCACUAGGCAAUUUGAGUUCAAGUUUUUAGCUUUGAUCAAGUAGCAUUUACUAAGUGUUUGGCCUUCCCCAGCACGUAUUGAUUGAAGACGCCAAAGGAUCCAGAUCGAUGCACUUCGAAAAGACAUAGUCAAUUAUAUGUCUUGUGAACCCUAGCAGACAAGCUAACGCAGAAUCCCUGCAAUUUCUGGUUCUUCAUAUAUAUGCAAAGAGAAAUUAAGCAUUUCAAACAUAGCCACACGGCCCACAUAUUACGUACGUACUGUUCCCAUGGAUAUACUAUUUGCUGGAUUUAUUUGAAGAUCGAAUGCGAUAUUAGGAAACCCUAAUUGUUUUGCUAAGUUUACACAUGGAAUAUCUGCUAAAGCUAGCUCCAGUGGUUAAUUAGUUCAAGUGGCAUGGUAAUGGAGAUAUAUGUGGGAAGAUAAGUUCAAGUGGCAUGGCAUGGUAAGGGCAUUUGAAGAGCCAGCGUGCAUUGCCUAACUUCGAAUUUGAUGAGUGACUAAUAGAGGAGAGUGGCAACGAUGGAGACGAGUCGUGAAUCCCCAACAUAUAUAUAUAUAUUUCAUUCUCAGUAAAUUUAGACGAGACUAACUAUGAUUGAUCCGACUAAUACUAUGUAUGUGUGACAUGCAUGAUCAUGUGAAGGAAGAACGCAAACACGUCUAAUUACCUGUUGAUUAGACUGAUGAUUGAUCAUACAAUAGGAUAAUACCGUCAAAAUACAAGGGUUUUUUUCCUCAAUAUUAACCACACCUGAAUUGGCUAAAUUAACAGUUAUCAGCAUCAAUUUUAAAGACGUACCCGCCAGUUGCAUUAAUCAUCUAGAUUGCGAAGAAAUUAAAUAAUUAGAGCUUUUACGUAGCCAGUUCUUAAGCAUAAUUAACAAGAAACAUAAUUAAACAUCUGAGAUCUUUCUCCCACUACGUAGCUAGUACUACUACAUAUAUCAAACAGACGAUGAAAGGCUGAAGCUGAAGCAGGGUGCAGCUAGCUAGCAACAUUGAAUUCGCUAGCUAGCUUACCCGAUCAGUAAGGAGAGACCCGCACAUUGUUAUUAGCCGCAGCGAAAAACCCAUUGUGAUCUUUCAUCAGAACGUCCUCUGCAGAUUCCUGCAAAUCGAUCAUCCAUCAAACAAAUCAAUUAGAAGAUAUAUGAUCAAGGGUUGUAUUAUCUCAUAUAUAUCUGGGUACUUUGAUUCUAACAUGCACCGAAUUAAGAGAAGAAAAAGAGAGAUCGAUCCAGGGUUAAUGGUAGAUCCUGGGGAAUUAAUGAACUUGAAAGGUUGAAGGUAAUUACUUACCUGCUGGCGCACAUUUGUCUUCUUCACAGUAGAAGUGUUCUGGUCAGGCAUGAGACCAAAGUGAAUGUGUGGAAAGUGGGCCCACUGUCAAAAGAAACAAAAACUCUGUCAAGAGAAGAGGUUCACAUAUCAAGGGACCCCACACAUGUCAAAGAGGAGCAAUAGUCCUAUUGGAAUCACAAACCUUCAGAAACCCUAGCUGGGAAGCUAUUAGCUAAUUUGGUAAAGACGAAGGGAAAGAAACAAAAGUAGUCGAGCCAGCUGCAGGUAAUUAAUAUUUUUAAUUUAUGAAAAAUAAAUAAAUAUAUUACAUUCUUAGCAGCUGCGCUGAAGGCUUCUCUAUGGGAUAUAUCAGGAUUCACAGACUUGAUGCGUUGGAUCUCGUCCCUGCAGGAUCGAUCAUAUAUACACAUCAAUAUACAGAUAUAUAUAUCAUCAGAGAUAUGAUGGACCAUUCAUGUUAUUGCUUCGUUAUUUCUGGAAAUAAUUUUUAUUAAUCAUUUUCCAAUAAUAUAUUGCAUUACAAAAACUAAAAUGUGUACGUGUAUGAGAGAGAGAGAGAGAGAGAGAGAGAGAGAGAGAGAGAGAGAGAUAUGAAGCUAGAAUCGAAAGGAUCGAUGAUCAUGAUUACUCACUUGAUGAAGCGGUUGUAGGCUGAGGGGACUCUCUGUCUCUUCUCCGGAGCUGAACAACGCAUUCAAAGACACAGACAUUAAGAAUCAUCUUCAUGACCUAGCUACCUUAUAAGUAUACUUAAUUAUGAUCCAGCAAUCUGCGACGUUAUCAAGUAACUAUAUACAAUUUGCGGCCGGGGAAGAAUGGUCUAAGGAAUUAUUGCCGGCCUGCUACAUUUCAGAGGGGAUUUAUACCAGAAAGGACCUAAAACAUGAUUAAUGAGGCUAAGUUCAUAAACUAUAAAAGAAUAUACCCAUAAAAGAAAAGCUUAAAGCAUCAUAUUUCAGAAGAGUGUCCGUCCUAUUACACUUUAAGCGUGCAAAUGGAAAAGAUGAAACAUUGGAACCGUCUUGUCAAGUAUACAUAUACAGAAGCUUUAGACACAUUAUGUCUCAGCUUAAUUACUAGAUUGUUCCUAUGCAUAAUUUCUUGAAUGUUGAAAAGGACUGAUGAAGUCUGUGAAAGUGUGAAGAAUUUCAUUUCUUUGGUCUGUUAACAACAAAUAAAUGUUUGAGGAAAGCUAGCAAAGUUAAAUUCUAGCUACUGAAAUCUUGCCUGCAACGGAAGCUAGCAUAGAAGGGGUUGAUUAUAAAUCUGCGAACUUGGUUUUAUCCUCGUCUACCAGAUAGAAAGACCUUGGUAACUUCAGGGAUUAGAGGGAAGAAUUAAAGAUGCCCAAACUUAUUAAACUUUUCUUCAAUGAGUACCAAAAUGAAACCAGAAAUGAACUAUCCUGGGUUCUAGACCAAAAUACUUCGUAGAAAGCUAUAUAAUAUAAUAUAGGGUCUACUAACAGCUACCCGUCUGAACUUAUAAGCUCUAGGGCUAGGUAAUUAACACAGAUAAUAAGAUCAAAAGUGAAAGGAUGCGUGUAAUUAAGGAAGAAAGUUGCUCACGUCUGUUAAUAACUGGAGGCCUUGGGAGCUCAUCAGCUACUCCUCCUCUUGGUCUUACAGCAAAGUCAUUCAGGCUGCUAGUUUGAUUGUUCAUCAGAAAGUUUGGGGUUGGAUUCAUUAACGGAAUCUCCUGAUCCUGAAGCACAAUAUUUACGGUGAAUUUACCAAUAUAUAGAAUCAAGUUUUUCAAAAGGUUAUUCGAUCAAGUGUAUAUAGGUAUACCAGAAGGUUAUGGGAAUUUGGCUGGGAGAAGAAGGAGUGACCGAGAUGAUGAAACUGAUUUGGGGAAGGCAGAAGCAACCCGCGCAUGUUCACCGGAAGCAGGUUGGUGCAGUGGCCACAUCGUACCGUCACAGUCUUGAACAAACUUGUGCAAGGAACACUCACCUGCAUACAUCAAACCAGAAACAUAAGCAGAACACAUAUAAAAUCAAUUGAAAGAGCAAAACAGCCCCCAAAACUAAGCCUAAACAGCAUAAUAUAUGGAAGAGAUUAACAGAAGAAACCAAGGAUGGAGGUUGAAUAUGGAGGUGGGGUUUACCGCAAGGACAGUGUCGCAAAUGUUGCAAUGGACAUAGCAGAGCUGCUCGGAAGGAGCAAGGUGGUCGAGGGACAAGGUCGAAGAAGCAGAAUUAGAGGAUGACAUGAUGAUUCCUUUUCCUAUCUUUUCUUUUAUAAAUUUGAUUGGUGAUUGAUGAUUGGUCUCUCUUUGGGGUUUGAUUGAUUGAUUGACGGAUGACAGCUUAACCACCACCUUGGAUCUGCUUUUCUACAAUUCUUUCUUUCUUUGAUUAUGAGUUGUGAAAGAAAGGUGUGAAACAAAGAGAGAGAUAGAGAGAGAGGUAGUGAGAGAGAGAGAGAGAGAGAGAGACAGAUGGGGAUCAAGGGAUAUCUAUUUGGUCUACUAGAUAUAAGAGAGCUGUGCUGGGAACCAGAGACCCUUCCAUUCUCUCCCCUCUAUUUAUUGGUGCUGUGUGAUUUUUUUUUUUACUGUGAUUAUCCUGUUGAUUCAUACUGUUCACCCAAUUAUUAUUGUCACUUCGAACUCCAAAAAAUUCUGGAGUUAGCUAGCUAGUAGUGAUUGUCUAAAGGGAUAUCGAUCACCUUCGAUCUGUAUUCCAAUACGUUAUGAACUCGUGAUUUAAGUUCAUUCUUGUCUAGUUUCUAACCAUAUAUACAUCAAACCGACCUCUAGGCUUUAGCUAGUUGUAUUUAUGUUGUUUAUACACUUGACUGAGACUAAAUAUAUGAUAAAAUAGUCUGGGGUUCACAUCUAAAACCAAUUGGCAAUAGAUGGAGUGGUCCAAACCCUUAUAAACCACAGGCAAUGUCCCAUUUUUUCUGAUGUGGGAUAUAUAUCUCAACACGCCCCCGCACGUGUGACGAAUCUUCAAGCCUAACACGUGGACAACAUUUGGGGUGACGUGGAGUUCGUGUGGCCUUUAGGCUUCACACGUGGACGUGGGUAACCCGCUCUGAUACUAUGAUAAAGUAGUCUGGGGUUCACAUCUAAAACCAAUUGGCAAUGAAUGAAUUGGCCGGCCCAAACCCUUAUAAAUCACAGACAAUGUCUCAUUUUUCCUGAUGUGGGAUAUAUAUCUCAACAAUAUAAAGAGUUAGGAUGUUAAAUUGUUAAACAUUACUAUAAUACUAACCCCUACUCAUAUAUUUACAAGAAAUUACAAAUGUGACAAAAAUUUGUUGUCUGAGUGCUAAUGUUGAUUACUGUUUCGUGUAAUCUUAGUUUUCGUAAUGGUAAUUAGACAACGUACAACAUUUUACAAGUCUUUGAACAGAUUCAUUGUCAGUGUUGUAAUUUUUGUUUAAAUUUACUAACUAGCCAGUGUACGUAAAUGAAUAAAUUAACUUUGUCAAGUAUAUGUACGUAUUGGGAUUUGACUAGAGUUGAAAAAUGUAUCAAGAAACAGCACUAAAUAUCACCACCGGUCGAUCAUCCGAUGUCUAUGACCGGCCAUGCAUGUAUAUAACGUCCAUGAUUCAUCAUCCAUGUCCAUGAUCACCAAAGAUAAACAUGCGCAUGCAUGGUGUUAAUUAUCCCAUAAUCAACACAGAUAUGUGGUUGGCACUCCCGAUGCCAUAGCUAAGCUGCUUAGCUAGCUCAGAGAGAGAGAGAGAGAGAGGCGGUAGAUGUGGGGGAGAGGAGCUCGAAAGAGACGUGUGCAUGGCGGUGAUAUUGCUUUCACACAAACACACAUACACAACACUCAUCAUCUGUUGUUUUCAGAACUUAAAGAGGGUGUUGUCUUCACUCUUGCGGUGCAGUUGGUUUUCAAAUUUUCUCUUUCGAGCUCGGCCUCAAUUUCCGAACCCACUCCCAAAAUAACUCCAUGACUCCCUUCUAUACCUCCCGGACAAUAAGCCCUUCUCCACCCCCUCUUUGUUUGGCCCUCCGCCCCCUUCUCCGCCUCGACAGGGCGCUCUCCUCGAUCCAUCUAUAUCUUCCUGCUUCCCUAUCCUCACCCCGUGAUGAUCAACCCCACCAACCCCAUCAUAACACAAUCAUGCAUACACGACUCGUAAUACAUAAUGCCAAAAUUUUCUAAUUCUGUAAAAUGAUUAAUUUCUAAUGUCUAUUAUAUAUAAAAGCUAGCUAGCUAGCUAUAGUACUGGAAUUCUGUAGACGUUCAGUGAUUUGACCACUCGAUCUCCCUCGUCUAACGCACAGCGCAGACAGAUACGUAUUUAAGUAGUCAGUACUCAGUAAGAAACAUAUAUCUCAGUAGCUAUAUUGCCAGGCACCUCCUUACCACCUUUGUCCUUUCCUAUAUUUAUUUCUGCUUUUCUUUUCUGGCUUCUCUUUUAGCUAUUUUGGUUAGAAUCUUUCUCUGAUCCUUUACAUAACUCUAGGGUUUUUGUUACAUAGUUUGCAAAGCCACCUAGCUAGCUAUAUACAGCUACCCUGUAACUAUCUUUGAAAAAAGAUAGUCGCCCAGUUCCCGUAGAUAUUUACCAUUGUUUCCUUGAUCGAUUAAUUAGGGUUCAAAGAUCGAUCAUGCGGAUCAAAUUUCCAGAACGAUCGCCAUCUUACCAUAAAUGGCCUAAUUGGAUUUCCUCUUCCC
rnacentral:lncRNA from 1 species